AUCAUCAUCAGCCUCUAUUAAUGAAUUGAAGUUGGUAGACUUUAGAUAGUCCACGUCCUUCCUUAAUUCUGCUACUUUGGCUUUCAAAGUCGUCACCACAGAGGCCUUCCUUUGUCUGCUCUCACAAGUUGUGACUCUCACAGUCAACUCAUUAAUAGAAGUCUGGAGGGGGUGAGUGCAGCAAUUAUGGCUCUCUCAAUCGUCCCAGGGAUGGAUCUCUCGAGUCGGGUUGCCCGCAUAUUAGUUGAUUGGGCCAAAUUCCUCAUCUUUAGGAUCAUGGCUGAGUAAUCCUGCCAGGCUGGGAGGAAGAUGAAGCACCUGGGGGAUGCGAAGAAGAGGAAGGAGUGGAUGUACCUGAAGGCUCAGAGGCCAGAGUAGGCAAAGAUGCCUCUGUAGGUAACAAGUCAACGUCAACAUCCGGAGAAAUAUCUAUCGAAACUGCUCUCCUCCUAUCAGCCUCCCCUUGUAUGUACUCGGCCUCAAUAUGCUGGAUGUUAAUGGAGGAUGAAGGGGUGACCUCAAUAUCUCUCGCAGUGUCCCGGGGUACUCCAACACACAAGCACAGCUCAGUGAUCAGGACUGGUAAUGGCAGAGAAGUUUGUUUUUGUUUGGCUCUCAUGGCCAUAUCCUGUGAAAUCAGCAGUCUCAGGUCGUUGCGUCUCCUAGACAUGACAGAACCAAGGCAAGUUGCUUUAGAAUGGCGCAAAAUGGACUCAUUCUGGGAUGGAAUUAUAGUGCUGCUGAUAAAGCCAAACUAAAACCUAGCAGCGAUGCUCAAGUCCCUCUUCUCAAUAGGGGUUCCCCCAUCAUCCACCUCGGGAUGGUGUCAGAAAUUAGAGGAGCCAACCAACCCUUCAAGUCAUCUAGGGACUCAACAAUGGGCAACCCCUCGUAAAGAAGUGCAGAGUGCAGCGCUCUAUUCAAAAUAUUGUUAAUGUAUUCACUGUCGCACCCAACUUCCUUGCCUCUGACCAUGACUGACUUCACCGGUCUGAAUUCGCUUGCCUUCUUCUUGCUUUUGGGCACCAACUCCCCAUUAGUUGUAUAGAAUUCCCGAACUUGUGAACAGCUCAAACUCACGGUAGUGGAUGGUGUCCCUGACAUCGGGGUACUUACCCUCCAGGCCCUCUGUAGAUAACAGCUUCUCCUCUAGGAUGGUCCGUACCCCAUCACCUUUCAUUCUGUUCAGCAGUCUAGGUGGAGGAACGAUAGAGAGUGCAGGGGUCACUGGAGGUACCUAGGCUAGAACUAAAUCUGCUUCAAGAGGGGUGGCAGCUAAGGGAACUCUGGUGGAUGUGGAUUGGGUUCUAGCUCGGAGCUCAUUCCUUCGGUUAAUCAAGGGAUGCUUGUCUUCACGUUUAGACAACUCAGCCCGGUUGUCAGCGUCUACUUUCUUAGCUAUGUGCUUCUUUCUUUUGCCUUUGUCUCCCAAUAGGAGUUCUUGUCUUCUCUUCUUUGGAGGACCCGAUCCUCUUUCGUUUAUAGUAAUGCCCCGUGCUUUCUUCUGGGUGGCGUGGUUAGAUUAAUCUGAACCAUAUCUGCAAAACAUUAAAGGUAAGUUAAAUAAUAAUCACAUUGAAGCACAGAAAAUUAAUUGCAGACAGACUCGCCGAUCCAGUCGGUGAGUCGCCGAACCUCUUUGGCGAACUAGAUCGGGCUCGCUGAAGGGAAGGCCCUUUUGGCGAAUCGCCGACUACUCUCGACGAGCAAGGGUUUGUCCGACUAAAGUUACAGUGCAACAAGGGUUUUAGGUGUGCAAAUAAAGGGUGAUCAAGCAUACUAUCGGUGAGUCACCGAGUGCUUUUGGAGACCAUAUAUUUAUUGCCGAAAUUAUAUAAACCAACAAUACUUAUAGCAUGAAAUUAAAGCCGAGAUAGAGUCAUUAGGUGAACUACCGAGCGGUUCGGCGAGCUCGAUCCAACUCGCCAAACGGCUCAACGUGCCUAUUUUCAAUCCACCUUCUCGAAUUCAACCACGCAACCUCCGAAAACAAAAUCAAAACAUGCAAUAGUUAAAUUAGGCUUAGACCCAUAGCACCCAUCACCCCGAAAUACUCAGACUUCUUUCGAUUUUGCCAAAUUUGGCCAUUUGACGACAAUUAGUCUUAAGAUUGGUGUCACCCGCUCUAUCAUUGAGCAAUUUACGUCAAUUAGCACAAACGUGGGCUUAUCAGAGUUCACCCAACCAAUCUAAACAUCACGCAAGCACAACCUCAUAAAAUUUCAUUCAUCUAAAAGCACAAAUUGACAGGCAUUUAACGAUCAAAAUAAUACGGGCAAGAUUAUUAACUUAAAAUUGGCAUUUAAACAAUCUAAUCCUAUCAGAGAGGCCCAGCACACGACAAUACGAUAUGAUCAUUGCAAAAGAGUACAAUUUUUUUGAAAGUAAACUCGAGAUUCGGAAACCAACCUUAGAUGUCGAUUAAAAUAGGAUUGAAAUGUUAGGCGGCAAUGGAAUCCUAGUUCCGAGCACCAAUCAACAACCAAUAUACUAAUGAAAAGCAAGAAUAUUGAAAUUACUAAAUUGGUGUAAGUUUGUGAAAUUUGAAAGCAAGGGAAAGUAGAGAGUUUGAAACUUUAAAACCUUUGGUCAUAUAUAACCAUUCAGUUCGCGUCCAUUCGGCGACAUUAGUGGUGUUCGCCAAUCCACUCGGCAAAGCACCAAAUGGUCACUUACCCUCGUUGAUUUCUGUUGGACCUGCAUUUUCUUGGGGGUUAAUACGGUGGUCUUAAUCAUGGUCGCCGACUCGCCAAACUGCUCUUGAGCUCGCCGAGUUUUACAGGCUCUGAGUUGAAAUUGUGUAGAGCCAAAUGGCGGAUCAAAUCGGGCACGCCGACCUCUUCGGCGAUGCACCGACUGGACCAUUUGCUCGCCAAUCUGCAUUCUCUAAACACUUUCCGCAUUUAAACCUGCACAACCAACACACCAUUAUUUACAAAAUUAAAACUAAAGCAUUUAAGGGUUUUGGGUUGCCUCCCAAACAGCGCAUUAGUUAACGUCGUGACACGACGUAAGUCAACACUCAAACCACAUUUUUGGGGUUAGCCAUAGUAUCACUUGGCAACCCCCUAUUUUGUUGCGAGUUGAGAUGGGUCAAUGCAUGACCCAUAAGGUUCUCAAGCAGCUGGACAGAUCUGGAAUGAGAACCAAUCAUUUGCUUCAUCACUUUGAUGCUUUCCUUCAUUGUCCUUUGGCCUUCUUCGCUCAUGAGGAGGGAUGUAUUUAUCCUUCAUUUUGCAUUGGACUUCGAUCUCCACCAUCUUUUUGGCCAACUCAUCCAUCUGAGUCAUUAGUGCGGCCAACAUGAAGUCCUUUUCUACUUCUUGGUUCAUUUCAUCCAUUUGAUCAAGCAGUUGGGUUGCUAUCACAUAUGGUUGUUUUGCAAUUCCUCUUGGAAUGAGUUGGUCGACCAACACCUUGUUUUCGGGACCAAGACUUCUAUAGAAACAGUCAAGGAGGGCUAUGUCGGGGAAUGUCAUGAGUUGGGCAUUGAGUUAUCAGUUCUUUAAACCUUGCACAUGAUUUUAUGGAUCCGUUCACCUUCCAAUUGCUUGAAGGUUAGGAUGCGAUCCCGGAACAUCAUUACUUAUAAUGGAGGAAAAUCCAUUAGCUCUCAAGUAUUGUUCGAUAUACUCACCUCCACUGCUUAAAGUACCAACAAGCAAAACAAAACUAAAAAUAAAGUUAGUAAAAUACGACUAAGAAGAACAAGAAUUUUAGUAAACCAAAAAUUCUUCAAAUAACACCACUCUCCGGCAGUGGCGUUAUUUUGAUGUUUGCGUAAUCAAGACACAACUUCCAAUUCAAGUGUAUAUGAGCGCACAAUAGUAAAGUAACCCAACCAAGAGUUGAGAUCGAGUCCCAAGAGAGUGGUUUUGAGAAUUAAUAGAAAAAUAAAAUUAAGUUCUAAUUAGUCAUAGCUAUAAACAUUAUCGAAUAUAAACAUACUAAAUCUAAAGGGGUGACGCAAACGUCAAUUAUCAAUGGGGGUUUUGUAUUAAUUAACAACUAAAAAUAGUAAAAAUAUAUAUGAAAACGAGAUAGAGAGACGGGAUUCUUGGGAUGUGAUAGGAAUACGGGAUAGACUAAAUUAUCGGGUACAUGCUUUUGAUAGUAAAUUGUCGAGUAUUUGUGACUAGGCUAGACUAUAGUGGGGAUAAUAUCUCUCUCAAGCAACUUACCCCGAAUCAACUCAGUUUCUCUCGAACACCGAGGUGCCGCAUUAAGCACAGCCUCCGCCUUAGCUCAUUCACUUUCUCUAGCUGAAUGUGUGGGAGAAGGACUAGGAUUCACUCUCUCGAGCUGAACCCAUGUUGACCCAAUACCACCGACUAUCAAUUUAGUAGUUUUAGUUUUACGACCUCUCUCUCGAGCAAGCCAAAAAUACUAAGAUGAAGUCGUAUUUGCAACUACAAUUCCAUUAAGUUCAUACACAACUACAAAACAAAAUCACAUCUAAACAACAAAUAAACCAUUAACAAGCAAGACCCAACAGAUAAUCUAACCCAUAUUCACAAAAUUACACCCCAAGAAUUGGGGUUUUAGCUAGACAUGUAAAAUAGAUAAAAACUUAUACCAAUAUCAGUUUCCAUCAACUGGGUAUGAAGGAUUAAGUAUUAAAACACGUCAAGAGUGAAGAAUCUUCGAGACCCACAUCCAAUUUCUUAGAGUUGAAACCCCUUGAAUGUCUUAGAACAAAGUCUCCAAAACCCUCUAAAACUUGAAUUCUCUAAAAACUGUAAAAAGUUCAAAUAAUAAUAGUGAUAUGAUACUAAGCUAGAAACUUAAACAAGUAUUUAUAGUGUUUGAAAAUUUGUUCUGCAGAGGACCCUUCGGCGAAGUUAGUCAGGAUCGCCGAUACACUCGACGAUCCACCAUUUGGUCGAUUUCAUCGCCUUCCUAUUUUAGCCUUCAGCCUCUCCGCGUUUUGAGUCAUUGGGCGAUAUGGUACUGCUUCGCAGAACUGCUCGGUGACUCGCCAACUGUUCCAUUUCACCGCCAACUUGACCUUUUCCUUCAAGGCUCAACACACUGGAAUAAAAGGCGAUCUCUCGGCCGAUCGGCGACUUGCCAACUGGGCUUGGCGAUCUUCAGGCCUUCAUUUCUUCUUUCUUUUUAGCCGCCUUUUUCCUUCUUGCCAAGUAGUGUCUAUGCUUUGCCUCAAACUCCAAAUACCUGAAACUUAAGGAUUUUCAUCCGAUAUUGAGACAAAAUAUGCAUUUGAGGACACUAAUGCUAUGAAACUAUAGCCCUAAAUGAGUCAAAAUUAUGGACUCAUCAAGUUGUUUUAAAAACAUAUGAGCUAAGUACAUUUUGGAAGUAGUAUUGAGCACCGAUAUGAGGACAUGAGUUCAUAAUAACUCAAGUCUCCAUAAACCAUGUAGCCAUAAUGGGUAGUAAAUGAUUAUACUUUUUAGAUGAUUCCUUAAGUGCUUUUAAGCAUAGACUAGUGGAUCCAAUUAGUUAAGACGUUCUAUAUGACGUCAAAGUAUAGGACAGUUCUGGCAGCGUAGGCAAGACGAUAUAUCAUUACUUAGGCUCAUAGUGGUGGUUGUCGAUUAGAGAAACUUUCACAGAAACUAUAUUACUUUAUUAUACAAGUACAAUUGAGUUUGUUAUUGCAUUUCUUUAACGAACUAAGGUGCUUUCUACUGUUUUAAAAGCUUUUUGUAUAUUGCAUGUGUUUUAUUGCUUUAUUUUGAGUUGGGUUAUUCAUGGGUUGAGUAAAGCCAAGGUAAGUGUUUCUUUCAGACUCUUUUCAAGGUUAUGUUAUGUUUAGCAUUCCACUCGCAUACUCGCACAUUCAAUGUACUGAUACCAGUUGGCAUGCAUCAUUUCAUGAUGCAGACACAGGUAACCAGGAUAAACAUCCAGCGCCUCGUUGAUCUAGUUGAGCACUCAGAGUCAGUUGGUGAACCUCAUUGCUUUCCGGAGGGCUUCUUUUUACAUUGCUUUCCAGUUUUCAGUUGUUAGGAUGAUCGGGGGUCUUGUCCCGACAUUCCUCUUUGUUUUAGAGGCUUCAUAAACGGAUAAUAUAGUUCUUUAGUCUUAUUCAUUUUAGUUGUAUACGUUUAAUACUUGAGUUGCCAGUUUGGCUAAGUUAUUAUCUCUUAAGUUAUUGCAUGAGUUACGUUCCUUGUGUUUAAGUCUUCCGCUUAGUAAGUAAGCCAGACCAAGGGUUCGCUUAGGGCCAACAAUGGUUCUCGAGUGCCAGUCCCGCCCAGUGUGUAGGCUCGGGGUGUGGCAAUAUGAUAAGUAGUAGAUAUGAUAAGUGAAGGAUCUCCCAUACAUUUCUUCAACAUGGAAAUGUGAAAUACCGAAUAAACCGCUACUAACUCUUAGGAUAGCUCUAACUCAUAAGCUAUAUUGUCAAUCCUUUUGGAUAUUUUGUAAGGACCAGUAUACCGGGGGCUAAGUUUCCCCUUCUUACCAAAUCUCAUAACACCCUUCAUAGGUGAAACCUUUAAGUAUACCCAAUCAUCUACUUCAAACUCUAAGUCCCUUCUCCUAAUAUCAGUGUAGGAUUUCAAACGACUCUAAGUUUGGUCCUAUUAACCCAUUUCAUAAACCUCAAACCAUCCAAUAGGAGAUCUGUAUCUUCUCCCAUAAUAGCCUCACAAAGAGUUAUCUAGAUGCUGGAAUGAUAACUAUUGUUAUAAGCAAAUUCUAUGAGAGGUAGGUUAUCAUCUCAAUUACCCUUAAAAUGAAUCACACAAGCCCUCAACAUAUCUUCUAAAGUCUGAAUUGUGCGCUCUGCUUGACCAUCAGUCUGAGGAUGAAAAGCAGUACUCAAGUUCACCUUCGAACCCAAACCUUUCUUGAAAGACUUCCAGAACUGUGCAGUAAAUUGUGCACCUCUAUCUGAUAUAAUCAAAACUAGAACUCCAUGAAGUCUUAGUACCUUUUGAAGAUACAACUUGGCAUAAUCCUCUGCUGAAUAGGUAGUCUUUACUGGUAAAAAGUGGGUUGAUUUAGUCAUUCGAUCUACGAUCACCCAAAUGGAAUCAUGUUGACAUCGAGACUGCGGCAAGCCAGUAAUGAAAUCAAUUAUCACGACCCAGGAGUACCCUCUAGAUGUGACACGACGUACAAGACUCUGAAAAAAGCCUCAUGCAAGCCUCAAAGCAUAUCAUAACAUAAGAUAAUAGAAAAUGGUGCGGAAUUCAAAACUUUUCUUUUACAAUUGAAGUCUUUUAUAAAAACAUAAGCAGAAGUCUAUACUUUGUCUCAAACCAUCUAUAGCCAUUAAGACUAAAACUUUGUGACGCACCCCAUACAAAAGCUCUAAACAUAAAGAUGAAAUGUAAAGGACAUGGUCGUCAAUCCCUCAAAUACGAUAAGGACUCACCAUAACUUCUCUUGUUGAUCUACUAUGAACCUAUCCACGAGGAUGGAAGUCGAUAUCGCCAAACCCUACACUUUGUGAAAAAUGUAGAAGAAAUAUGGGUUAGUACAAAAAUGCACUAAGUAUGAUAGCCAUGCAUAAAAUACCUUUAAAACAUGCUAAAAGGGACAUUUUAGUUGAAAAGCAUGCAUUUACCAAGUUUGAGAAUCAUUAUGCACUUUUAGUGUAAAACACAAGUCACAAGCAUGUUGACCAUAUAAAUCAUUAUAACAUAAUAGAACCAUCUCUUAGGUAACCCUAAAUUAUACUUGUGUGAUGCAUGAAUGACAUCCCAUAAUACCACUCAUACUAAGCAUCCCUUUUAGGCCACCAUAGUCAUGUUUACCAUUCUUUGAUCCUAUCUUUAGUUAAUACUCAUAGAUAAGGAACAUUUACAUUUAUUAAGUCAUGUCAAGGAAAGCAACUCAUAGUAACAAUCCAAGUUAAGCAUUCAUCAUUACAAUUAGCCUUUAUGUAAAUAUUCUCAAUAACAUCAUUAUGAACAUAUUUAUUUCAUUAGCAAUUAUAACAUUUGAGGAACACACCAUAACCACUCUCAAAGCCUACUCGUGUAAUGCAUGGAUGAAGUCUCAUACCCCCACCCACACUUCAUAGAACUUCUUGAGUAACCAUAGUUCAUAACUCACAUGAUGGGAAUAAGCCCUAACCGACAUAGACCAUGUGAGCAAAUCAUGGAAUCCGAUGUCAUGUCCCACACCGAAAAGAGUUGGUCUACUUGCCUAAGGUAGAACCCGUAAUUUAGCUUAGGUGGAUCCAUUAGCUAAUAACCUAUGUGGGCACAUAGUUAUGGGAUAUGGAGUUUGUUACUAGAAGCCCAGCCUAACAUGGGAAGAGUUUCCACCUCAUAAUAUCCACUCGGUGCUAAGCAUUAAAUUCCCAUGGAGUAGUUAAUUCUCUUUUAAUAUUAAUACACAUGAAAGGAAUGUCAUUGGCCUGUCGAUUCAAGGUACAUUGUUAGGAUAACUUAUUGAAUUCUCAUGAAAGGGGUACCAUUGGCCUAUCGAUUUAAGUUUCAUUAUUUAGUCACUCAUGAAAUGAAUGUCUUAAGCCUACCGAUUCAAGGUUCAUCAUUACAAUAGUUCAUUGACCCAUCAUGAAAAGAAUGUCAUUAGCCUAUCGAUUCAAGAUUCAUCAUUACAAUAGUUCAUUGACUCAUCUUGAAACAAAUGCCAUUAGCCUAUCGAUUCAAGAUUUAUCAUUACAAUAGUUCAUUGACUCAUCAUGAAAGGAAUGACAUUAGCCUAUCGACUCAAGAUUCAUCAUUACUAUAGUUCAUUGACUCAUCAUGAAAGGAAUGCCAUUAGCCUAUCGAUUCAAGAUUCAUCAUUACAAUAGUUCAUUGACUCAUCACGAAAGGAAUGCAUUAGCCUAUCGAUUCAAGAUUCAUCAUUCCAAUAGUUUAUUGACUCAUCAUGAAAGGAAUGUCAUUAGCCUAUCGAUUAAAGAUUCAUCAUUACAAUAGUUCAUUGACUCAUCAUGAAAGGAAUGCCAUUAAUCUAUUGAUUCAAUACAAAGCCUUAGAAUACUUCAUUACUCAUUUAUGAAAGGCAUGUCAUUGGCCUAUCGAUUCAAGGUUCAUUAAGUCAAGAUAACCUUUAAUUACACAUGAAAAUGAUGCCCUAAGCUUACUAAUUCAAGGUAUAUCAAUAAAGUUCACUUUUAAUUACACGUGAAGAGGAUGCCCUAAGCCUACCGAUUCAAGGUAUAAUAUACAUUGAGAAAACCUUUCACAACAUGUCAUCAUCAUUCACAAGUGUAUAAUUGAGAAUAACCUUUCAACAACACCACAAUUGCAUUAUAGUCAUGAUCACAUUACUUUCAAAGUAUUCAUAAAGCAUGUACACAAAUAUCAUGAUUAUAAAAAAUCUCAUAAUUUACCCUUCAAGGAUCAUGAAUCAUAAUUCACCAACACACCUAGAAUUACUACAAUUAGGCAUGGAUAAUAACAUGAUUCAAAUAACUAAACUACUACAAGAACAAUUUCAUAGUAUUCACCUUACUACAAUUCACCCAAUUCACAAGUCAUAAAUUAGGGUUAUGGGGGAUCCAUAGAUUCAUGGGAGAUUUUAUAUUAAAACCACCAUAAAACAGCAAUUCAAUCAUAAUACAAGAUAAUUAAAUCAUUGAAAACGUUUUUAGAAAGAAGCCAUGACUUGGAGUGAAAACCCUAGGUUUUGGAAACUUUUUACUUUGAAAUUGAGAGUUUGAGAACUCCAUGAAUCAAAGACUACCAAACCUUAGGUCUAGAAAUCCAACAAAUUCAUAUAAGAAUGCCCCCUUCUUCAAGCCCUAACUUGAUCUUCUUCUUCUUCAUCUAUGGAGUUUUUAGAGAGAAGAUUUUUAGAGAGGGUUUGAUUUUGAUUUGGGGUAGUUGGUAUUUUAUGAAGUUUAUGAGGUGGUUAAAGGCUUAUAAAGUCUUGUAUAUGUCUAAUAAAUCAAUAUAAAAUGACUUCAUAUUUAACUAACUUAAUUAGAAAUUACCUAAACUACCCCUUACCUUGGCCGAGACUUGGCAGUGUUGCAAGCAUGACCUAUGCCUGGGACCUACAGUCCGUGAAUGGACCUACUGGCUGUCUUGCAGGUCCAUAGGUCAUGACCUGCAGCUCCUAAAGUUGGCUAUUGACCCACGACACCCAUCCACGGGGCGUGGGUCCACCUACUGGCCAUAGGUGUCAUCCGUAGGUGGCCCUUUUUGGGCAGUUUUGGGGCAGCUUUGGGGUUAGGCUUUAAGGUCCUCCUCAAAGGACCCCUUUGGUUGGUCCUUGGGGAGUCGUACCUUGACAUUUAACCCCUAUAACCCUUACUAUAAGUUCGGGAAGCCAUUUUACCAUUCUAAAUCACACAUCAAACUCUAAAACUCUCACGUAAGGCUCUAGUUUCAUCUACUAGUUUUCCAGGUGUUACAUCCAUAUUGAUCUUCUCUCAUUUCCAUUUUGGAAUCUCUAUAUUCUAAGCCAUACCACUGGGCCUUUGGUGCUCUACUUUAACUUGUUGACAAUUCGAGCACUUAACAACAAACUCAGCAAUACCUUUCUUCAUACUAUUCCACUAAUAUACUUCUCUCAAGUCACGAUACAUCUUUGUGGAACCCAGAUGGAUAGAAUAUCAGGAGCUAUGAGCUUCCUCCAUGAUCCUCUCUUGGAGUUCAUCCACCUUUGGCACACACAACCUAUUUUGAUACCUCAAUACACCAUCUCCCCUUGUUCAAAACCAUCACUUUUUGCUUAUGAACAUUUGCCUUCAAUUCAAGCAAAAUAUGAUCUUGGCCUUGCUUCUCUUUCACUUCAGACACUAAUGAUCAUUCAACCCCAUUCAUCACCACUACUCCUCCUUCGGUGGAAUCCAUUAGUCGGACUCCUAAUCAUGCAAGUUUGUGCACAUCUGUUGCUAAUUCUCUCAUUCCUGCUUCAACAUGGGCGGUACUACCCAUAGACAACCUGCUUAAAGCACCAACUACCACAUUAGCCUUACAUGGGUGAUAUAGAAUAUUCAUGUCAUAAUCCUUGAGUAACUCUAACCACCUCCUCUAUCUGUGACUAAGUUUUUUCUGAAUGAAUACAUAUUGAAGACUCAUGAUAGUGAACCCAUCUACAUGAACACCAUAAAGAUAAUUACAUCAUUUUUCAGAGAAAAUACUACGGCCGCCAACUCUAGAUCAUGGGUUGGGUAAUUCUUCUCGUGAACUUUCAGCUGGCUGGAGGCAUAAGCUAUAACUUUACCAUUUUGCAUUAACACACAACCCAAUCUAACUCUGGACUCAUCACAAUACACAACAAAACCUUUCGUACCUUCUAGUAAGGUCAAUACUAGGGCAGUAGUCAACUUAGUUUUCAAUUUCUAAAAGCUUUUAUCACAAGCUUCAGACCUUUGAAACUUCACUAUUUUCUUAGUCAACUUAGUCAAAGGAGAUGAAAUAGAUAAGAACCCCUCGACGAACCUUCUAUAAUAUCCAACCAACCCCAAGAAACUCCUAAUAUCAGUUGGAGAUGUGGGUCUAGGCCAAUUCUGCACUGCCUAUAUUUUCUGUGUAUCAACUCUAAUUCCAUCACCGGAUAUAAUAUGGCCCAAGAAUGCCACAGACUCAACCCAAAACUCACAUUUAGAGAAUUUGGCAUACAACCCUCUAUCCCUUAGAGUUUGGAGCACUACUCUAAGAUGACUAGCAUGAUCUUCCUUAUUCCUCGAAUAAAUUAGCAUGUCAUCAAUGAAUAUAAUAACAAACAUAUCUAAAUAAGGCUUGAAUACUUUAUUCAUAAGGUCCAUGAAUGUUGCAAGAGCAUUGGUCAAACCAAUUGACAUAACUAUGAACUCAUAAUGACCAUAACGGGUCCUGAAAGCUGUUUUAGGGAUAUCACUUUCUCUUACUCUCAACUGAUGAUAGCCAGAUCUGAUUUCUAUCUUAGAAAAACAAAUGGCACCCUGAAGUUGAUCGAAUAGAUCAUUAAUUCUCGAAAGAGGAUACUUAUUCUUGAUAGUAACCUCGUUCAUCUGACGGUAAUCUAUACACAUUCUAAGAGAACCAUCUUUUUUUCUCACAAAUAAGACCGGAGUGCCCCAAUGUGAGACACUUGGUCGAAUAAAACCCUUCUCAAGGAGAUCUUUCAACUGCUCUUUUAAUUCUUUCAACUCUAUUGGUGCCUUCCUAUAUGAAAGAAUAGAUAUAGAACGAGUAUCGGGAAGGAUAUCUAUAUCGAAGUCUAUUUCUCUCUCAGAAGGGACUCUGGAAAGACUUAUGGAAAUUCUUUUACUACUGGAACUAACUGAAUAGAAGUUGUCUCAACACUGGAGUCAUUAACUCGGACUAAGGGAUAGACACAACCCUUGGAAACUAACUUUCUCGCCUUAAGGUACGAAAUUAAACAACCUUUAGGCACUGCUGAAGUGCUUCUCUACUCUAUAACUAGCUCAUUAGGAAACUAAAACUUAACAACUCGUGUUCUACAGUCGAUUGAGGCAUAACAGCCAUGAAGCCAGUCCAUACCUAAAAUGACAUCAAAACUACCAUGUGUAACUCAACUAAAUCAACCAUGGUACUCUUGUGAUUAACGGAAAUGGUACAAUCACGAUAGACUCUCUCAGCUAGAAUAGACUCACCAACAGGUGUAGAAAUAUUGAAGGGAUCAAGAAGUUUCCAGGAAGAACAUCAAAAUUCAUCGUUACAUAUGGAGUCACAAAAUAUAGACUCACUCCUGGAUCUAGCAAAGCAUAAACAUCAAAAGUAAAGACUUUGAUCAUACCAGUGACAACAUCUGGAAAAUUCUCUUGCUCUUGGCGAUUAGUGAUAGCAUAAAGACAGUUUGCUCCUCCGCCAAUCCCUGAAGUAGCUCAUCUAGGUGCAGCUUUGUCUGGUGGAGCAACUGAAGAAGAUUGGGCUUUGUUGCCCCUAUUUCCAUUGCCCUGCCUGUUCUUAAGAUACUUUUUCAUGAAGUUGCCCUCUUGACCACACUUGAAACAACCAGUGGAGCCAUCACGACACGUUCCUGGGUAGUUCCUACCACACUUAGCACAUGUAGGAGCCCAAUUAGCUCCUUGUACCACACUACCUUGAGACUGUGUAGGUCUAGCUUUGAAAUUUUAUGAACUCUGAUUAUUGAACUCACCUCUGUUCCUUGGUACGUGUGCACUAACAGAUGAUGGAACAGGUCCCUUUGGCUUAUGCUAGAAAGAUGAGCGGUUGUCAUUACUCUUCUGCUGUCCAGACUCAUUCCCUGAUGUCUUAGCCUUCUUGUUUUUAAACUCUUCUCUAUCCCUCAACUUAUCCUUCUCAACCUGUUACACAUGGCCUUACCUUCCUUACUUGACAGACGAGACAACCCAGCAACAAACAAACUCAUCCUACUCCUCAUAUCAACAACCAUCUCUGGAGCAUAACAGGAAAGUUGGGUGAACUUCAGACUAUACUCAUGAACACUCAUAGAUUCCUGCUUAAGAGUAAGGAAUUCUCAUACCUUUGCUUCUCUCAGUUCACGUGGAAAGAAAAUCCCCAAGAAGGCCUCCUCAAACAAAUCCUAACUCACAAGUGGUGCACCUUCAGCUCUAUUUAUUUUCCAUUGAUCAAACCAAAUUCUAACGACACCCUUCAAUUGAUAUGCAGGUAGUUCCACCCUCUCAGCAUCAACAACAUGCAUAAUCUCAAAAACCUUCUGAAGCUCCUCAAUAAAGUUUUAUGGAUCCUCAGUGACACUUGAACCAGUGAAGCUUGAAAGAUUCAUCCUUAAGAAUUCACGGAUCCUUGAAGUAUCAGUCACUUCCUUUUGAUUGUCUCUCUGACCAACUUGAUUGGUUACAGCUUGACUCAACAUCUGGAUAGCUUCCCGGAAUUCAGCAUUAGUGACUCUCCUUGGGGUUGCACUUUUGGUGCAUUAGGUACCCCUUGAUUCACAACAUUCCUCCUAGUAGGACGACCUCUGACAGCUCUUCGUGGAGGCAUGAUCUGAAAGACACGCACAAGCACGAAUUAGAAGAAUUUUUUUAGAGAUAAACUCUAUCGCACGAAAUAAGUAUGAAAUAAGUGAGAUAGUUCCUAAAUAUCGUAAGCUCCUAAUUAUAAAUAUGGUGCGCUUCACACCGAUAACUAGGACUCUACGAACACGACUUCAUAGACUCCUUAGGACUCAUGAACUCUGUGCUCUAAUACCAAGUUUGUCACACCCCGAGCCUAUGCCCUGGGUGAGACUCGCACUCGAGAACCAUUUUUGGCCCUAAGCAAACCCUUGGCCUGGCUAGACUCUCAGCGGAACACUUUAAGCAUUAUUAAAAGAAAACAAAUGCAACUUUACUAAACUUUCUCAAAAUAACUUAGAAUGUUUUAGAAUUAAACAUCCAACUAGCCAAAGUGACAACUUAAGUCUUAUAACAAAACAACUGAAAUGCAAAGACUAAAGGACUAUAGUUAUCUAUCUAUGAAGCCUCUAAUACUAUGAGGGAUGUCGGGACAAGACCCCCGAUCAUCCUAACAACUGAAAUACUAAAAUAAUAAGAAAAAGAAUCCUCUGAAAAGCAAGGAGGCUCACUAAAUGACUCUGAAAUGCUCAACUAGAUCAAUGAAACGUUGGAUGUUGAUCCUAGUUACCUAUAUCUACAUCAUAAAAGAUGACAAGCCAAAUGGCGUCAGUACAUGGAAUGUACGAGCAUGCGAGGGGAAAACUAAACAAGACAUAAACUUGAAUUGAAAUCUGAAAGAAACACUUACCACAGCCUUACUCAACUCAUGGAUACUCAACUCAAUGCAGAAAUAAACAACAAUAAAGAUAUUGUUUAUAUAAAGCAUUUAAAAUAGUAGAUAACAUCUCAAAGUAUUGGAAAAUACAAUAAUAUCUCAGCUGUAUGUAAGAAUACAAAAUAAACUAUGUUUGGGAGAUUCUCUAACCGACAACCAUCACUAUGAGCUAUGUGAUGAUACAACGUCUCGCCCACACUACCAGAACUGUCCUAUAAUUUGCCGGGAUAUAGAAUGCCUCAACUAAGUGGAUCCACUAGUCUAUGCUAAAAAACGUUAAGGAAUCAUCUAAAAAGUAUGACCCUUUUUACCCACGUUGGCUACAUGGUUUAUGGAUACUUGAGUUAUUAUGAACUCAUCCAUAUAUCGGUGCUCAAUACUACUCCCAAAAUAUACUUACCUCAUAUGUUUAAAAACAUAACUCUUUCUCUGUGGUUUGGGGUUAUUACUCAAAAUCUAUCUCUUAAAAGAGAUUGAACUCAAAACUACUCAUGAAAACGUAUUUGGAAAUCAGUGUUUCCUCUCAUCUUAAAUGUGCAAAAACAUUUACUCUUUGGGAAUACAUAGUCCGCAUAUAACAUUUUAAAGAAAUGAACUCGGCUCUACUCUUUCUCAAUCUCAAUGCUUAAGUAUUAAAACAAGUUAAAAAGAUUUGUAAAAGACUUAUUAAAAUGACUCGAAAAACCCUCAAGACUUGACUCUUAACUCUACCUUGAAUUGGAACUAUGAAUUCAAGGUUAUGAUUUGUGAUAUGAAGGAUAUCGUGAUGAUUAAGAGUGUUUUUAAAUAGUUAAUCAUAAGAAAUGGCCAAGAAAACACUGUCUGGGAGCAAGUCCGUGACGCGGAAGUUCAUUUAAAUAUUUGGUCUCAAAAUAAUUUUGAAACAGUGGAGUCCGCGUCCUCUCUGCGACGUGGAGAGAAAAUUUUUUCACUGGGGAAGCAAGUCCACAUGCGCGUGCCAGAAUCUGCUAGACUUUUUCCUUCUCGUUUUCUAACCCUAAUUCGCCUAAAUUUGAUUCUUUUACUCAAUUUUUCUUUAGAUUCAGAUUCCCAAUACAUGUACACAAGAAUCUAAUCAAACACAACUCUAAAAUCGACACGAUUUCCUUAAGAACCCAUCAAUCUCAUCUUAACUCAAGAACAAAAGCCAAUUUCAAGAACACAAUUGAUGAACAUCAAACCUUCAACUUUCUAGAACGAAUUUAAUGUUGAAAUUAACAUGAUUGGCCGUGGGUGAACGAACGCAUCGCUAUGUGAACUCACAUACCUCUUAGAGAUUAACCCUUGGCGAAAUCCGCAAGCAAAAUCUCAAGAACGGGACAAAACCUUGGCUCUUCUCCUCUUUUCUCCUCUCUCAAAGCCCUAGCGUUAAUUUGGAAUGCGUAAACUAAAACAAUUCAGUCUAGACCUCUAAUUAAUUGCUAAAAAUGAAUUAACUUAAUUGGAUAAUGAAAAGAUCAAAAUACCCUUCUUAAAUCCAGGUGACUUUCCUUAUUCGGACAUCCCGACUUCAAACGGGCAUAUCUCCCUUAUACAAGCUUGAAAAUUAGCAAACUUAGUGGAGUUGGAAAGAGAAUUCCAAGACCUUUCAUUUGAUACCUGUAGACCACUUAAAUCAUUGAGUACUAAGAGUUAUGGUCGUUUGAAGUUGACCCAAAACUCAUAUUUAGCAUAUCUUGCCAAAAAAUUUCAGAUUUGCUAUUUCCAAAUUUGAUUCAUUCUAUUUUUAGCUCUUUCAAAUAGCGAGGUGUUACAAUUGGGUAAAGAUUUUGACAUAAUUUUAUGGUGGGAAAGAGCCCUACGUUGGGGAAGAUGAUCAUAUUUUUGCCUAGGGGUAGGAUUUGUUGAUAUUCUAGGUAAAUUAUAGGCCAUUAAUGAUUGAUUGUUAUUUAUGUUGUUUGUUUUAGGCCAAGAACAAGUCAAGGCACUUCGCAAGGAGAAAGUUUAGGUUAUUUAGAGUUUUCAAGAGGCUUGAUUGGACGUAGAUGAUGAUUGUAUGUUUUCAACUUAUGUAUGUAUACAUGUCUACUACUUUGUAGUAUCAUAUGUGAAAUACAUGGUAGGGAGACAUAUGAAAUGACAUCAUAUAGCAUAAGCAGUUUGACUUGCUUGGGGAUAUCAAAAUGACCCUUGUUUUCAGGCCUUGGAGUUUAAAUUUAUGCGGUUGGGUAUCUUUGAGAAGCGUGAGGUGUUAGUUAGUAUUGAGGUCAAUCUCACCUUCAUAGAUAAAAUCAAAACCAAGCAUUUAAAGGAUGAGGAGUUGGCCAAAAUCAAAUGUAAGGUGGUGUCUGGGAGACCCAAGAGACCACACUCGAUGUCAAUGGUAUGCUCAAGUUUAGAGAGAGGAUUUGUGCUCCUCGGAUUGGUGACUUAAUUCAGAAUGUGUUGGCAAAGGUUCAUGGUUUAAGUUAUUCUAUUCAUCCGAGUGUGACCAAGAUGUAUAGGGAUUUAAGGCUACUUUAUUGGUGGUUCGUGAUGAAGAAAGACAUUGCAGAGUAUGUUUCCAAGUACUAGAUUUGUCAAUUGAUAAAAUAUGACCAUCAAAGACCUGCGUGUUUUCUUCAGAGAAUGCCCAUUUUGAAAUGGAAAUGAGAAAGAAUAGCCAUGAAUUUUAUAGUGGGACUACCCAAAUCAUCUUAUUUCUUGCUUCAACUGAGUGUUAUGUCAGAUUGUACAUCCACAAGAUUGUCAGACUUAAUGUAGUUUCUUUAUCCAUUAUUUCAAAUAUGGAUGCUCAGUUUACCGUUCAAAUUUAAAAGUCAUUUAAUUUCAGAAAGGAUUGAAUUCGAAGGUGAACAUUAGUAUCAGUUUUCACAUGUAGUCAGAUGGUUAGGCAGAGCAUACAAUUAAGAUUCUAAAGGGUAUGGUAAUAUCUUGUGUUACUGAUAAUAUUAGGGUGAUCAUUUUCCUCUCAUUGAGUUCGUCUGUAAUAACUGCUAUCACUCAACACUAAAAUCACUCUUUUUAUGAGGUUGUUUAUGGGCGGAAGUGUAGAUCCUCGGAUGAUUGUUUAAAAAUUGGUAAAGUAGAACUUAUAGAGCCAGACUUUAAAAAAUUAAAGACAGUUUAGAAAAGGUUAAGGACUAGAUGUCAAAAGUCAUAUACUAAUGUUAGCAACAGAGAUUUAGAUUUUGAAGUGGAUGUUUGAGUUUACUUGAAGAAUUCACCCAUGAAGGGUGUCAUGAAAUUUGUAAAAGAAAAGCUUAGUCCCCGUUUAUAUUGGUAUGUAUUGAGUUUUGAAGAGAUUUGGCAAAGUAGAUUAUGAGUUAAAGCUACAAACAAAGUUAGUAGAAGUUCAUCUAGUGUUUUACAUUUCCAUGUUUGAGAAGUGCGUGGGUGACAAUUUACUCAUCAUGCCUACAAAAUAUGUUAGGUUGAAAGAUAGCUUGUCUUACGAAGUGGUUCUAACUAAGAUUCUUGAUCGGCAAGUUUGAAAGUUCAAAACCAAAGAGAUAGUGUCAAUAAAGAUAUUGUUGAGAAAUCAGUUUGUUGAAGAGGCUACGCGAAAAGACAAAGAAGAUAUAAAGGUUUGAGACCUGAAGCUUUUCACACCUUUCGAUAAAGAUGUUGAAGGUAAUAACCUUCUUUUAUUUUAGAUUCAACACCUUUAUUUUGUAUUUGACUGUUUUAGUUCCUACAUUUAUGUUCAUGUCUUGUGUCUCCUUAUAAGUGAUUAUGAUCUUGAUAGUAAUUUCAGUUUAGAAUAGAUAGCUUGGCUUUCUUUUUCAGUUUGUUCUACUCUAGUUUGACUUCACCAAGGGGAUGUAUGAUCUCAAGGAGGAGAUAUUGUAACACUUCAAAUUUAGAAUCUGUAGAACCUGUAUUUUGUUAUCACUUAGAAGGAUUUUGAACUAUUUCUAGAUAUUUAUAAAAAACUUAACGAUUUUUAAACAAGGUGAUGGUCUGUGAAGUUACCCAUAGGAACCACUAGAGAGUUGUCAAAUUUCAAAGAAAAAGAAAGGAAGAAAGAGCGGGAUAGAGACAACAACAACAACAACAACAACAAUAAUAAUAAUAAUAAUACAUAGUAUUACUAUACAUAGUAAUAGUCAAAAAAAUUAUUAAAAACAAUAUUAUUUAUUAAAAAGUUCUAUUAAUUUAACAAAAUAAUUUAUGGGCCUUAAUAACAAAAUGAAAAGGAGAAAAAAUAACUUAAUAUCAAAUUAAUACUAAAUUAAUAGUGCUUACUGAAAAAAUGAAAAGAAUUUUAUGAACUUUAUUUUUAGUAUAAAACUUUAAUUUUUUUUAAAACUAAACAGGCCAUAGUAACAUACUCUAAAUAUUAUUUUAACAAGACAAAUUGUAGACUUUGAUAACAAAAUGAAAAGAUGAAAAAUUUAUUCGUAUAAGUUUUUUUUUAAAACUAAACAGGCCAUAGUAACAUACUCUAAAUAUUAUUAUAACAAGACAAAUUGUAGACUUUAAUAACAAAAUGAAAAGAUGAAAAACUUAUUCGUAUAAGAUUAAUACUAAAUUAACAGUACCUGGCAGAAAAAAUGAAAAAAGAAUCUUAUGAACUAUAUUUUAAUAUCAAACUUUAAAAAAAUUAAAAUUAGGUAGGGUGAAUUUACGUGGGGUGGAUCUAUGUGGGCUGAAGCAAGUUGAAAAUAGAAAUAUUUGUUAUGCGGGAUAGGAUGGAUUGGAGUCUUUAUGCGGAUUUUUCCUCGCAAACUCCGUUGUUAUUACUGUCAGUUGCUAUCAAACCUUUCAAGUCAAUUAUUAUAAUUAUAUAUAUCCACUAUUACUAUCAUUGUCACCUUAGUCACUACUAUCAGUCACUAUCACCACUACGUUCAAUCACUACUACCAACCAUCUCCAUCGUUACAACUAGCAUCAUCGUCAAUUAGCACCAACAUGUCGUUCAUUAACACCGACAUAUCAUCAAUUACUACCAUCAGUUACUAAUAUCAACUAACUUCAUCAUCACAAUCAUAAACACCGCUAUCAGCUAUAAUCAUCAUCGCGUCGAUCAAUACAACACCAGCCAUCUUCACCAUCACAACUAUCACCACCACCAUUACUAAUCACUAACACCAGCCAUUAUCCUCACCACUAUCACUGAAUAUAAUUUUGUUUAAAAAAAUAGGCCCAAACAGGACGGUUAAUUACCCGAUUUCCAAACCAAACAGAGAAGCCUUGAAACCACAAACCUCUUAUCUAGAGGCGGAUCUAGAAUUUGGAUGUCGUGGUGCCACAUCGUCCAAGUAAGAUAAACGAGUCGGUUCCUUCAAUUUUAGGUUACAACUCGGGCUAUUUAUCUUUUUCGAUUUUUAUAAAUAAAUUGAUCAAACAUGCAUGUUAGUAAUAUUUUCUUUUAGAUAUUCUGAUGUUAGAAAUAACUAAACAAAUCAAUGUUUUAUUUUAAGAAAUUAGAGGCCUUAAUCUCUAAAGCUUUGUGAAAAAAAGGGACUUUCCACAUUAAAAUUUUGAACUUCUAUGAACCAUCUAAUAGUGUUAAUUUAAUAUAUUCAUAUUUUAUGUGUUGUUAUAGAUAUAUAAUAGAAAAAGAAAAAAAUUAUAGUUUCAACCCAACAUUUUGCUUAGAUCUCUAACCUAAUAAUAUUCAGUAACCCGCACUAAGCAAGCUCGGUGAAACGAGCUCAAUUCAGAAGGCAAAUUUUUUGCUUUUGCUGAUAAGGGAAAGUCCUAAGCCCAAUCCACUGCGCCAUCCAAGGAUAAUAAUAUUCAUCAUUUUUACCGGGAAGAGAGAUGGCUAUGGAGGUUGCACCAUCUUUUCCGACUUGGGAAGAAAUUGAGCUUUCAGAAAAGUACCUUUUUUUUUGGGCUAAUUACCCAGCAAAGAAUUUUCUCUUUUGGGUUUAAUCUUGAUUCACUAAGCAACAAUUUGGUCAAAAUUGUUUCUCAAUUGUCAUGUUCAAUUUUGCAGUUAUCUGGUGUGUUGUAUGUUCCAAGAAGCAGCAGCUUUGUCUUCCUCAAUUAUUAAGCAAUUAGUUGACAAAAAUGCUAACACUAAUGAACACAAUUGCGAAUUGGGUGAUAUGUUGGAAUCAGCUGCAAUGAUUUUGGUGCAGUCCUACAAAGCGUUGGGGAGGUACUUGUUUAUGCUACUUCCAUUCAUUCAUGUAUUACCUGCAUUUUCUUAUUCUAUUACAUAGAAUUUUAAGAAUAUUGUUGGCCUGAGUUUUAGGGUUAAAUGACAGUCUUACUUGAGCAUUGAGAGUUGAGAGUUGAGAGUUGCUUCAUUAUUAGCUAUUACAAACUGUACUGACAGAGGAAUUGGUUGGUUUUGAACUGGGUUGAAUUGAUAGUCUCGGUGUGUUUGGUAGAAAGGAAAAUGCUUUUCAGGAAAAUAAGUGUUUCUUUUUACUUAUUUUCUUGUGUUCGGUACGUAAGCAAGAAAUAUUAUACCAAAAGCAUUUGUAUAUAACACUAUCACUAUGGGAGGUGGGGUGGUGUGUAAUGAACCCAUAUUGUAUUGAAAUGGAUAAUUGGGAUUACACAUACAAAUAUAAGAGUUCAUCGUUAUAAUUACUCCAAACUAGUAACUAAUCUUCCAAGGGGAAGAAGAAGAAAUAAAAAGGAAGACGGGAGGGAGGUUCCAGGAUUAAUCUAAGCAACUAAGAAAUAAAAGACAACUUCAUAACAUAACCCCUAAUUGAGUAUUUCCCUUUUCUAUAUAUAGGAAUCUUCCCGGGGUCCCAAAUGUAAUUUGACAUCUUCUCACAUGGGUCCUCCAUCUUAGUUAUAUUCAUAACAAUUCUUCCCUCCUCAAUAAGAACCCUGUCCUCAAGGUUCGAGCAUAGUCGUAAUGAGACCACAUUGUUGUCAUGUUCCUCUUUUAAGUGUUAACAACCCGAAGGAAUUCUUUAAACACUUCAUUAACCAAAGCAACUUUCAACAACGAUCCAUCAUUUUGCUAAUUAAACCAGAGGAUGCAUCCAUGUCUAACAAGAUUAACAUCAAGGAGUUGCUUGGAAGAUGGCAGAACGAAAUGACCGACAUUGAACAUCUUAUGGAACUUUGAUCUGAGAGCAUUGAGAAUUGUUGGAUCCAACUCCACUGAAACAUUAUGAAUUGAUGGCAUUGGCACCUGUAAGAUCUCUGUAGUCCAAAAAGCUCUCCAAGGGACAACCACUUUCUCAACCGACUUGAAUCAAAUCCUUCCGGCACCCAACCCAAAACCAACUUCCAGUAGCUUACAUUCAUUAGAGGAUACCUCUUCUAAAGAUGUAACCAACACUACAUAUUUCUUCCCAAUUUCGGAAACAUCCAACAAACACUUGAUCGUGUGUUGAUAGCAAGACCAUAUCUUUAGUCCAUUGGGAGCCCCAUCAGCUAGCAACAGAUCCAACACUGCAGAACAAGAUGUCAGUAAAUUUUCUAAAAUAAACUCUUGAACAAGAGCAUUGGCAGACUGUGGUGGUGUAAGAGCACGACAAUGGUGACUCAAAAAAUUUGGUACACACCCCAGUUUUGUCAUGUCUCUAAGAAGUGAACUAACAGAAUCUACCUCAUUGACUACACAUUUUGCAUGUAUCACUUGAGCAAAAGUGAAUGCAGAAGGAGAAUUACCUUUCCCUAGCAUUUCAUAGAACACAUAUGGAGCAAUUCUUGGCCAAUAUCUAGCCAAAAUAAUUUUCAACGUGUUAUGUGUCCCUUCCUUUUUGUUAUUUGCUGCCUACAACUCACUUUUGACAAAAUCAGCAGAUGCUCAAAUUUGUGAAAAGAUUGCUUCUUGUAGCAUUUUCAUAAUUUCCAUCAGCUCACUGAUUGCAACAAUUAUUUUGUCGAUGUCCUCAAUAGUUGGUGCCUUCUGUGUGACUUCCCGUGCAGCUGCUGUAGUUCCCAAAUCAUCAAUAAUCGUGUUUGAUAUGGUGUUUGCGCCCUCUAACAGUAACAUUGAAUCAUGAAGAGGCAAAUGGAAAUUUUCAAGCUGGUCGACUUGCUGUUCAUAGAGCAUUUGCUUUCGUAAAUAAGGUAUUGUAGCUCUUCUGUUUUGUUCACCAAGAAAAUCUUUCGCUCUUUCAACCUCAGGAGCAAUCUUUGUAAAUAACACUGCCUUUUUUACAAGCACGUCAAGCAUCACUCCAUCUUGGAUCCAGCAGUGAUCAAACUUGGGAAUUUGAAAUUUGAGAUUAAAUUGCUCGAACCAACCAGGUGUCAAGCUAACCUUGUCAUCAGAAAAGAUGUGGCUGCUCCUUUUUAAAAUGGUUGUAACGGGAUAUCCUAAUGUUAUUAACCCAUAAAAGAGUCGAAUACAACUCGCAAAGAUGAUCCAUAAGACAACAACUGAGCAGUCAUCAACCCAUUCAACAAUUGAGUGACCGUUAGACAACUGAAGGUGGUUAAGACCAGUAGGUGGAGCUGGUCCAAAAACACUACUGUACCAUUUCUCAGAUUGAGGGUCAUCAUUCAGAACAUCACAGACAAAGCUUACACCAGAGUUCAUGUUUACACCAGCUCUUUGAUUUAUAUCGUUGCUGCAAGACCAGUUGGGGUUCCCCAGUCCAAAUACUGUUCUUGCAAUUGGUUUGUCACAAAAAUAUGCAAUAUUGGUCAGCAGAGAAGACAAUAAGCCCAAGCCAAUUGCCACUUCGCAAAACACCUGUUGUUAGAUUGAUUUCGAUAUCAGAUUUAUACACAAAUCAAAAGGCACCUCAUCUAUGGUAUUUAGCUGCUCCAACAACCCAAGCACAGUAAAGCUAUUGUCUCCAUGGGAGGAAGCAACUGUAGUGUAUGGUUUCCAGGACAAGUUGAAGUUGGAAAAAUAGAAGUACUGGAUGAAGUCAUAUGCAUCAAUAUACUUCUCUAAUGCACUGGAAGAAACAGCCCUGACAGCAUGGUUUGCAGAUAUGCGAAGAUAUUCAAUAUGCGUAAUACUUCUAAUAUCUUUACACAUGUCACAGAGGAAAAUGACAUCAUGUGUGACAUAUACACCGGGAUCAAAUGGAAGUUGUAAGCAUUUAAUCUUAUGGACCAAUGUGAUUCUAUCCAUAAUAUGAAUGACACUCUCAGAUUCAGUGUACAGUCUAGUUGAGUCAAGAUUAAAAGAGUAUGCAUAUUUGUACCUGCCCAACAUAUCAACAAACAUCUUGUGUGCAGUGGUCAGUGAGGAUACUUCACAUACAUCUGAAGCAUCGUUAACACUCAGAAGUGGAAAGCCAUUCGAACAACCAAUAAGCAGAACUCGGUUGACUGAAUACACACCUGAGUUUACCUUAUCAAAGAAACCCCAUAAACCUGCCCAGUAUCAAACCAAUUGCAAAUGUGUAAACCCAAAGCAUGUGGAAGCGAACCAAUAGUUGUAUGAGGGCCAAGAAAGUCUGCAAAAAUAUCCCUCUUCAGCACUAUAUCCAACACCUUGCAGUCAAACUCCAUGUCAAGCUUAUGUUGUAGCCUUUAACUGGAAGAGUCAGUUCCUUAACUGAGAAGGACAAUAGAAAAUUCAAGCUCGGUAGUGUCAAUAGAAGCACUGAACAGAACAGAGGGAGAGAUGUUCUUUUGUAUUGUAUAUCCUACAUCAAGAAUAGGAAGUUGAGAAUCCAAAUGUGAUUUUACGAUAUCAGCAAUCUCGGUGUCAUUAUCAUUGUAAGCUGACUCUAGCACAGAGGUGAUAGUUGUAGAAUCUGAAAUCUCUGGAGUAUCAGUGUAAGUGGAGUCCUAUUGCAUCUCCUCCUGCAGCAGUGACGGCACAUGGCAAAUCGAAGAGAGCAUACGCUUGUUGUUUGCUUGUAGCUCCCUCAUUGAUUCUUGCAGCAACUUCAUCGAUUCAAAGAUGGUGUUGAAUUGAGCAUCAAGCAUGGCAGAAGGGUUAAGAGGCAUGGAGUACGAACAAUGAUAGCAUUAAUGUAAUGAACCCAUAUUGUAUUGAAAAUUUGAAAUGGAUAAUUGGGAUUACACAUACAAAUAUAAGAGUUCAUCGUUAUACUUGCUCCAAAAUAGUAACAAAUCUUCCAAGGGAAGAAGAAGAAAUAAAAAGGAAGAAGGGAGGGAAGUUCCAGAAUUGAUCUAAGCAACUAAGAAAUGAAAGACAACUCCAUAACAUAAACCCUAAUUGAGUAUUUCCCUCUUCUAUAUAUAGGAAUCUUCCCGGGGUCACUAAAUGUAAUUUGACAUCUUCUCACAUGGGUCCUCCAUCUUAGUUAUAUUCAUAACAUGGUGGGGUCGGGGGAUUCAAGGGUGGGGGUGAAGAUGAGGUGUGUUGGGGGUGGGAGGACACAACUAUUGUGGAAUGCCACUCGUGAACUUGUUUUCCCUUCUUCUACUAGGGAAGUCAUUUUCCCUCAUUUUUAAGGAACUUGUUUUCCUCGAGAAAAUGCUUUUCAAAAGUUUUGACCAACCAAACAUGGGAAAACUGGAAAAAAAAUGUUUUCCUUCUACUAAACACACUUGUUGAACAUUGUUAGUAGAUGGAUAUUAAUUUUCAGUAUUCUGAUAUUGCUUGGAUGAAUGGUUACCUCUGAAAUGCCUUAUAUAGAGUGGCUCUGAUGUAUGCGUAUUAUUGGUCAGACUUGUGAACUGCUUUCUCACUUUUUACUGUUUCUUGAUGUGGUAAUCCUGCUGCUUUCUUUCGUAGAAAAAAAUGCUUUGAGUGUCCUUUAAUUCUGACACUAAUAUGGUUUGUAUGUUUGACAGGACAUCAGAAAUACUGAAACAGCUGAAAGUGCUAUUUGGUUCAGUCACUGCUAUUCCUGCCCAAGUUUUCCUUACUGGGUACCUUAUUUCUUGGACAUGCUAUUUCCGUAAUAGUUGCACAUCUUCAUUUAGAACAUAUAAUCAUCCACAUGAAUUUGAUAUUUCUCACCUUUGUGGUCUAGUGAGAUGAUUUCUUUUCCUCUUUAUAAGGUUGAUGUCUGGUGUUAGAAUACAACUUUAAUUACCAUCCUCAAUUUUAUUCUGCAAUUCCUUUAUCAUUCACCUUUUUUGUACUGGUUUCUAUAACUUGAAUUGUUUGAAUGGCAUAAAAUGUAAGAAUGCUUUUAAAAAUUGAGAGACACUCUUUGCUUUGACAUGUUUCUUUUGGUUUUGAGAUCCUGAAUCUGAAAUCAUGUACUCCCUAAUAUCUCAUGUAUCCAAAGUAAACGAAAAAAAGUUCAUGAUCCCUCUCCCGAGCUUGAAAUGUUCUUAUCAUUGCAAGGUUGCUCCUCAUAACUACCUUUUCCUUCAACAUUUUUAGAAAGCUCCCUUCUUUGAUAUGGAAAUGACCCUAAACUUCUUCUCCAGGGUGUGUCUCCAGAUACCAGAUGGCCCUUCUGCUGAAGUUAAAGAAAUUCUAGAGGAGUUCCUUAUGAAGUGGAGAUAUGUUGAUGGAAAGUAUUAUACUAUUGCAAACAUGGAAGCUGAUGUAUCUUACAUGGAAGAAUUUAGCAAUCAGAUUUCCCUUCGAGUGGAUAAGUACCUGGAAAUUAUUGAGCUCUAUGUGAUUACCUUUUUGGGGAGGAUUCUAGGAAAUUUUGAUCUUGCUAUCUCUUGGGUUGAGAAAUCCCCUCUAUCUGACGAGAAGAGGCAGGUAGAAAAUAAUCUUUCUUGUUGCAUUUAUUUAAAUGAUGGUCUCAUGUGAUUUAUUUUUUUCUUUUGUGCCCUCCACUCCAAUUUUUGCUCGUACAGAUCUUCAAUUGGAAUAUUUGUGUUGUUUUCCUUGUGAAAGAAUGUUGUUGGAAUCUAUAUUCUUGAGGUUCUUAGCACUAUGAGUUGAAGUUCCUUGGUGAUUUAUGGUUGAAUCUAUAGUCUAAUAAGACCUAAUUUUGUGAUAUUAAAUUUUGUUGAAGGAAAAAUAUGUUUAUAGAAAUUGUGCAAUGCAGUCCUACUGAGACACAUUUGAUGUGUUUUGCUACGGUUGAUGGUUUAGCUGUUUUCUGACCAAGUAACUUAUAACUUGGGAUUUUUAAAAUUAUUUCUCUAUACUCCAGGAUCUUUUGAGGCAGUUGCACUCCAUGAAUACUUUAAAGCUUGGCAGCUCUUCGCAGUCCUCGGCAUUACCUCUCCAAAUAGAUGAAUGUACAACUGAUUCCACUUCCCUGAUUGAAGAAAAAUCAUGCAAUGGAACAGCAAAUAUUUUGGAACACAGAGACCAGUCUAAGGGAGAGAACACCACGAAACAAUCAAUUUUGGAGUUUUCUAGACGGAGAACUCCAUUUUGGUGGUUUCGUACAAUCACUUUGAAGUUUGGAAGCAGUUGCUUGGUUUUAUCAAAUGGAAGCAUCUUUCUUGGUUUUUUGGUGUCACUUGUUUACUAUAUUGUGCGGAGAAAACAAGCCUCUCUAUGGAGGUAAUGUAGUCUUUCUGCCUAGAUAAAGAAGAAUUUACUCUUAUUGUGAUUUUCUUCAUCUUAUAGCUGUGGUAGACACAUAUUAUUGUGUAAAAUCUACCAAAUUUUCUCAUGACCCAUGGGCAGUGUAUAGGAUAUAGCGAAUUAAUGCACAGCUUGUCCAUUGAAGGAUAUUUUUCCCUUAUUAACUUAACAUGCAUAGUAUUAGCACAGGAUUUAGUGGACAUAUCAAAUUCACUCCAUUAUCCUGAAUCAACUGAAAUUGAUUCUUGAUCUUUCAUUUAUUGUUUAUGCUGGAUCAUAGUCAAAUUCAACUUACUGUAAACAGUGGAUGGAAAUGCACAUUAUAUUUGAUUACUGCGGCUGUGUGGUACUUAUGUGAAGCUGUGUAUGAAGAUGCAUGCAUAUUUGAACCUAGACUUUUUAAUAGAAAACAUCCCUAAAGUUCAAGUACAUCCUUAAUGUAUCUCAAUUAACAAGAAACAUUCUUGAUGUAUCAGAAAAUAAACAACUUUGAUCCAAAGUUAACUUUCCAUCCAAACACUAACUGAAAAAUAAAUAAAAGAUGCAAUGCUCGUGAUUUGCUUUUGAAACAGAAAAGAUAGAAUAUGCCCUCUCCUCACAAUUUGAGCAACUACUCUAGCUUCUUCCUCAAAAUUCCAUAAAAAUAUUAGAGAAGAUUCACAUGCUCAACUUUAUUCAAUCAUUCAAUUCUAUCUCGAUCAACCUUACAGAUCUAAAAACUUGCUUCUUACGAGAAUUCCCCAGUAUAAAAAUGUAUUACUAUCUAUUAAAUCACUUGAGCAAUUUUUACUUGACUUUUCUGCAAAAAUUGGCAGUACAAAGCUCAAAAAAGAAGAACUUAUUUAUGUUCAUCUGUUUCAACUUAAACUCAUUGGGAAUUACUACUCUAGUAAUGCUGCCAAAUUAUCAAUAAACUUUGUCAGCUCUUUUCAAACUUCAAUUUUCUGAUACUCCUUUGUCUUCUUUUUUUUGUUUUGCCUAGAGAAAUCUUCUACUGUAAUAGUCCAGUUGACUGAAAGUUUUUAAUAAUGCUCGAUGUUUUUUGCAAAUUUUUGCACAUUAAUGUGAUCUUCUUCCUGGAAUCAAACUAUAUAACUAAUCUGAUAAGCAUAAACUAUCAUGGAGAACUUUUAGCAGAUGCAAUCCCACACAAAAAAUACACACAUAUGCACAUAUAUAAGUGCCUUUUUGAAGCAAAAACAUUUUUGGUUUUCAGAAAGCUUGAUCAAAUAGACUACUAGCUAGCUUCCAGUGACUUCAUGUUUUUUUAGACUGUAUACUGCUCGAAAUUGUUAUUGACCGUAUGAGAUAAUAGGAAGACUUGAGAAGCAUGGGCUUCUGCCCUUACUUUUUUGCUCAGAUUUAGGUAAGAAGAUAGAGCUACACUCAAAUGGGUACGAAAGAACUUUCUAUUUUCAGUUUCCAUAGGUGAAUCAUGUGCUAUGCAUGUGUUUUUGAUAUUUCCGUUAGUUUUUGGAUGAAAAGUUGACUCUGGACUAAAUUUGUUCCUUCUUUUUAUACAUCAGGGAUGUUUCUUGUUAAUUGAGAAACAUUAAGGAUGUACAUGAACUUUAGGACAAGUUUGGUUGGGAACAAGUUAUCCCGGGAUUAGUUAUCCAACAAUUGUUAUCCGACCCUCAAUGUGGGAUAAAAACAACACUACAAUCCCGGAAUAACUAAUCCCAGGACAAGUUAUCCAACGACUUUAUCCCAACCAAACAUGGGAUAAACUCAUCCUAAAACUGAUCCUGGGAUUCGUUAUCCCUUAUCUCUCCUGCCAAACGAGCCCUUAGAGUAUACUUUAGGGAUGUUUUCCGUUAAAAAUCUUUGGAACUAGCUUGUUCGGAAAUGGAAUCAGGUCUAGAAGUUAUAAAGCAUUGUUUACCAUGUGAAAUACGUCUAUUAAUCCAUUGGGUUGGCUCUGUAAUUCUAGCUUUUUGUAUUGCACGUAAUCAUGAGAAACCUCUGCUGUUAAGGGCUUAAACUCUUGUUCUAGUUACAUCAGUUAAGAGUCACCUGGUUUCAUUGCCAUAUGCACAUAGGUAGCAAGUAAACCUUAUUCAAGCACAUGAUGCAACUGUGCCUCUCUGGCGGUGUUUCAUGUUAUACCUGAGGGUCUAUGAGAAUCUCAUACCAUAGUCAGAACUCACCUCUGUCUGUCUUUUAAGUUUACUAUCAUUCAAAAACUCUAAUCAAAUUGUAGAAUGUUGUGGAGAUGUUCAGUUGGGCAUAUUGUUUUUGUUGUAUCGGUUCUUUCUGGCAUAUUUAAGUUUGCAAAUGCUAGGUGAUAGCAUCCAAGGGAGCUCUACUCCAUUGAAGGACAAGGAUGAAGCUUUAGAAACCCCAAGGAGGUCCAUAACAAGAUCUCAAACCAAGGAGUUCAAUGAUAAGCUCAAUGGGCUUCAAUCGCUGAUCCAAAGGUGUCUUAUUGGGGAAGAAGAGCUCAAGCCCAAGGGAGAGGAAUUGUCCAAAUGCUACAAUUAUUUGGUGGCCCAAAUUCAAGCCCAAGAUGAGGAUUUUUAAGGUCCAAUUUCGUGCAAAUAAGGUCAAGAAGAGUCCAAGAAUCAGCCACAACAAGAGUUGCUUUCUGCCCAAGUUUUGAGAGAAGACUAGUCAAACUUUCCAAGAUUGUCAAGAUUCUUUUCCUAGUUGGGAUUUACCUUAUUUAUUUAUUUAUAUAUAGGUUAUUAAUAUUUUCCUUAGUCUAUUUAUGGUCUCCUAAGUACCAUUUAAUGCUUUCCUAGAAGUACUAAAUUUGUUCCUAGUUAGGUUACUUUAUUUCCUUUCUAGAGUAGGAUUCCUUGUAAUUGUCUUUCUAGGGUUCUUUGGACGUUUUCUUCCCUUCUCCUAUAUAUAGGAGUCCUUUUCAUUCAUUAAAGACAAUUUAGAUUGAUAUUAAUAAUAUUUGAGAGAGUUCUUUGAACCUUUGUGACUUGUUCUUUGAGAAUUUAUCUUUAAACCUUUACUAGUUUCAUAGUUUAAGGUAUAAAGUAAUUUCUUCUUGUGAUAUCUUUGGUUUCUUUUUGGUAUUCUUUAGAAGGUAAUUAGUUUCUACAUACUAAUUAUUGUCUUUAGUUACUCAUAAAGCGGUCAAGAUCCGAAUCUAUCGUUUUGAUUCGUUUUCUCAAGUAAAGGCGUUAGAUUUCUACCAUAAAUCUAUACGUUGUUACUUGGAUCUUUUCAAGGCCUUAGAACAUCUAAUUCUUGGAAAUUCGUGGAUCUUUCCUUCGAAUCUCCCAUAUCUUUAGUUAGUUUUGUUGUUUCUUUUCUUGUGCUUCCGCAUUCUAAUAUUCAAUUCUCUAUUUGUGAUCUCCUUAACCUUGCUGUUAUCACUAGGCUACUACAUGCUUGGACCUGGCUUAUGUUAGACAUGAAUUGUUUGUCAAUUACGUGAUAUCUGGGACUAUUGUCUCACUGACAUUUUCCCCGUCAUUUAUUACAGUGUUGUUAAGAGCCAAGCUUCAUCUACGAAGAAGGCUUUGGUUGACUUCUGGCAACUUGCAUUCUCAUAUCAAGUGAACCCUCUUGCUGCUGUUCAAUCACUCCCACCUGCAACACGUGGAAGCCGGUGAUGCACAAUUUUGUUCCUCAUACCAGAGCUGUUACUUGUAGAUAAAUGAAAGAUUACUGAGGAUAUUGCUAUUAUCAUCUUAAGUUGGAGAGGAAAUUGAUUUUGAUAAUUGACAAAGAUUGUUGGAAGAAGCAGGGUCCUUAAUAAUACUGUUGAUUAGAGGCAGCUAGCAUUGUUUGUAUGGAAGUAGAAGUUCCUUUACAGUAAGGUCUCAAUUUUUGAAAAAAUCAUGCAACUCCAACUCCACUUUUAUUAUCUCAUGGUGUAUGGACAAAAUGAUGGAGAAAUUUUACUCUUGUGAAUCUCAUAACCAACAUUACUUAAUACUUAUGUGAGGCAGUUUAAAACUCAAUAUUUUGUCAUUACCUUAUAAUCUUUGUCAACCGUUACAAAAUCUGAGGAUUGAGACAAUCUCUCCUUUUAUUUAUUUCUUCACUGCAAGCAGUACUCACAUAAUCUGUUUGUUUCUGUAUAUAUACCAAGAUAUCAAUGAUGAUUCACAUUUCGGAGAACCCUACUUCCUUGCCCAAAAAAAGGUAUGCUCAAUUUUUCCCUUUCAAUUAACUCGUCUUUCUUUUUCUUGGCAUUGAUUGUUCUACUUAUAUGCGUUUGAGAAAUUGAAUGAAAAUGCUUUUGAGGAAUUUGCAUUGUUAUGGGUUUAGUUUCUUUUAUUUUUUAUCAUGGAUUGUUCUGCUUCUUUUUUUUUUUAAUCUCUCAAGAUUUUUGUGAGUGUAUCUGUUUGGUUGAAUGAGGAAUUCUGAUGUUGUUGAAUUUUUUAAAGCAUUUACUGGUGUUUGAGAAAUUCCAUUCAAAGAAAUUGAAUGAAACUGAUUUUUGAGAAAUUUUCUUUGUUUUCUAUUAAAGGAUUUAAGGGGUGAUUCUGUAUUUUUUGUGGGUACAUAUUCUUGAUAGAAAGGAAUUCAGGCUUUUCUAAUUUUUGUUUAUUAGCAAGAAAAUGAACGUUUUCUUCUUGGAGGUUACAUUUGCAUAAUCACCUCUACUAGUUGAUAGGCACGUCCAUUAAUGGCUACUUUUGCGUUGUGUGUGAUCUUGUGCUUGAAUAUGAAAUUGAUGAAAACCUUUUACUUUGUUGAGUUUUGGAGUUUUCAAAUUUCCAACAGAAGUUGCAUAGAUGGAGGAUUCAGGCGAAGACAAAAGCAAUGUGGUAUGCAUAAGUUCAUGUUAUCUGUUACUAUUUCUCAAGCCUAUAGUAAAAUUUAAAAGUGUGAUGACUGCCUGUUCUUGAGGAACUAUUGUAUUUCUAAGCUACAUGCUUCAAGCGGUGAUAAGACUACUAGGGUAAGAGAGAAGUAAAGGAAGAUCCAUUCAAAGAGAUCUUAGAAUUAGAAAGAAAGAUUUCUUUACCUCAUGUGAAGCCUAGAAGGAUAUGAAAUAUAUUAACACAAGACAAUAUAUUCACUUUGGUACUUGAUGCCUCAAACCAAAGACAUCUUUUUUAUCCCUUUCUUUUCUCAUUUCUCUCAUCUUCUUUUUAGAGGAUGUAAAGUUAGAAAGAAGGAAGAACGUGCUAUAACUUUACACUUGUGCACGUUAGGAAAUGACUAAAAGUCGUCUCUAACUUUAUCUUCUUCUGAGAAACAAGAAUUUGCUUUCGAUCACUCUCCGAUGAUCUUGAGAACCUAAUCAACCUUGAAAUCCUCAACAUUGGCAAAAAAUUUCAGUACCUCUUAAAGUUUCCCUAUUCAGUUGGAUUUCUCAUUUCUCUGCAUGAACUAUAUGUUAGUUACAACAAGAUUACUGAAUUUCCAGAUUCCAUCGGAUGCUUGAAGAAGCUAUAGAAGCUGAGUGUAGAAGGCAACCGCCUUGUUUCUCCUCCACCGGAGGUAGUGGAGCAAGGGAUACGUGCAGUUAAGCAAUACUUGUGUGAAAAGAUAAAUGGAAUGCAUGGCAAGUCCCCUAAGAUACCCUUUGACCUUUUUUUGUUUCUUGAAGUUUCGAUCGGUGUUGCUACUUUAGCAUGUUAUUAAUAGCUAUGAGUGAUUCGGUAAUGCAGUGCAUAUCUAGGAAAGCAGUUGAUAUGAAAUAGAUAGAUUCGAGUAGAAAGAAAAGAUGAUUAAAAUGAACAGUUUAACUUGUAUACACAAGUCGACUAUUACACUCUGAGUGUAAUUUUUUAUAUAAAGUUAAAUAAGAACACGAGUUCACCUUUACAAAAGGAUGAGAUCAUAUACGUAGCUACUGAAGUACUGAAUGAAGUCUGGGGUAUUGUGAGUAAUAAUAUUCUCAUAUGAGUAAUGAAUUCCUUCCACAUGUGAAUGGAUUCCUAUGUUGGGGAUUGUAAACCUUAAAGGUAAGUUCUUGAUGCUCACAUGUCACACGAACUAUUUGUUUUAUGAAUUUUGAUUCCAUGCAUCCGAGAUACAAGUAUCUGGACUUGUCAGAUACAUGUAUUCGGGGACCAAAUCUGACAUGAAUGAUAAUUUUUAAAACUCCAAAAAAGGCAAGUAUUAGGUCCUAAACUAAUAAGAUUUGUAUUGUUUGCCUUUUUUUUUUAUGGCCCAUCCAAAUAUAAAUGAUCCUAAACACAUAAUGCCAGAAAUGCCCUUUAUGACCCAAACAUGCACAUUAGUGACCUCUUGUCUGCUUAGAAUCAUUCAAUCGUAUUAAUAAGUAAAAUGCAUACCAACGAAGAGCAUGUUAAUAUUUCAUUGUUUGUUCAGGAAAAAAUGUCAAUAUUUUUAAAAUUUGAAACUAAUUUAAUUUAAACUUCAUGUUUACCCUAGGAAUAGGUUUUUAUUGUCACAUAAAUAUUAUGAAAUAUUCAAAAUCAUAAAUUUCAAUGGGUUUACAAUCACACGAAUUUUAUGACCUAGGAUGAUUUUCUUACUUAAACAUCAACUUUUUUCUACCUCAUCGAGAAUGAUCAAUAUUGUUUUCACUUUUCCUUUAGCUUAACUCAAAUUCUCAACAUAUUUGAUAAUUGAGGUGCUCCACCUCUUAAGCAAGCCUCACAUAUCUUAAAUUUCUAAUCUAUUAUAACUUAGACACAUAAAUUAAAAAAAUAUUUUCCAUCAUAUUUAUCGCCAUGUAAAUAUACAAAUAAAAUUUAAAGCGCUUCAAAUAAGAUGGUACUUCACAAUCCACCUUGAAGAUUUUUGUUAUAUUAGUCAAGUAUUGUUAUCCACAAUCAAAACCUUUUAUAAUGAAAAUGGAUAAUAAUGAUAUGGUUCUUAAAAGAUAAGAAUCCACCGUUAUCUUUGAAAAAAUAUUUUAAUAUAUGCACAAAGAAAAGUAAACACACAAUUGUGAUGUAAAAUUAUUAAAAAACAGUCAAGAAUGAGGGUGUAGAUAAAUAGGAUAGGAAAGGACAGUACGGAUAAAUACGUACACUACAAGAAAAAAAAUUUGAUGAUAUGGAUAUAAUAUAUAAUUUAAGAAAAUAUCAUAAAUACAUAAUUUAAGAUAUCAUAAUUUUUAAAAUUCUCUAUCAUUAAAAGAAUGACAAAACCUCUCUCAGAUACAUCUCUAUCUCUUCUGGAAUACAUCUCUCUCAUUAAGUUAUGUAUCAUUUGAAUGGACAUUCAAAGUGUGUAUGCGAAAACAAUAAAAAAAUUCGCAAUUUUUAUAAUUGAGGAAACUUUCAGGAUAGUGUAAGUUUCUCAAUUUAUAAUUUCCGUUCUUAUUUAAGUUUCUUAGUUUUACUAAACAUAAAUUUUAAAAAUAAAUAUAUUUUAUUGAAAUUUUAUAAUUUUAAAUUUGUCAUAAAAAUAUUAAAAAAUAAACACUCAUCAAAUAUUUUUAAAUAAUAUGAUACUCUUUAUGAAACAAAAUUCAACACAUUAAAAGUAAAACAAAAAAAGGACGCCGUAUUUGACAUUAACUACUCUUUUAAAGUCAAACCUUUUUUUUAAUGUGCAAAGAAAAUCGUGCCCGUGAUUAUCGGUCAAAUAUUGUUAUAUUUUAAUUUAAUUGAUAAAAGUAAGUAAAUCUAGUAGUAGUUGGGAAGCUUUAUCAAAUGAUGGAACUUGUCUGUAUUUAAUAUUUUUCCAAAAAAAGAGGUAAAUAAUUAUUUCCUUCAUUUGAUUUAAUAUGUUAAAAUAAUUUUUCUAAUCAUAUAAAGUAAUGAAGAAUUAUACAUGUUGGCCAAUUGAAUUAAAAUAUGUUGCUUGCUUCCCUCCCUUUUGGGUUCCUUCCCUAUUUUAAAUAUUAGUUAUUGUUAUAAGCUAAAGUUAAAAGUAGAAAUUAGAAGAAAAAAAACAAAAAAAAUAGACAACUUAUAUAGAGAGCAAGAUAGAACUUUUUUUCAAGUAUAUUUAAGUGUUUUUAGUAUCACAUCUCAUGUCUCUAUUUAUACUAUUACAUAGAUGAUAGAGGUAAAACCGUAAAAGAAAUGUCUUAAAUAAGACAAUACUCAUUGAUAUCAUGGGAAAAGAUCGUGAGUGAGGUUCUGGAUGUUAGUAUGUUACGAUAUAUUGUUAACUAUGCCUUUUGAUAUAGUAUUAGUUAUUCAAUAAUGGACCGUUUGAUUACUGGAUAAGGGCAAAGUUAAUACAUGAAUAAUUUAGUUAUUCAUGUAUUAAUUUUAUACCAUGUUUGGUUUGUAAAUAAAAAAAUCAAAAUUAUUCAUGUAUAAAUUUUAUACAAUGUUUGGUUGGUGUGUCUCCAAAUGUUGUAUAAAAGUUAUUCACGUAUUGAUUUAUGUGGUGUUUGGUUGCAUUUUUGUAAUUCUACAUAGCUAAUACUCACAUAACUUAUGAGGAAAUCUAUGUAUAAUUUUAUGCAAGGUAGAAGGUGGAAUAAGUUAUGAGGGUAUUAGUUAUACAUGGAUUAAAAUAAUAAACUUACAUAUUUACCCUUAAUUUGUUUACUUAAUUAUUUAUUUGUAAAUAAUAAUGUAUAUUAAUAUUAAUUCACAAGAUUAAGGAGUCAUUUUUUUUUUUUAAAAGGACGCCCCUAACUCAAUUUUUUUUAGUUUCGUGAUUGCCUCCCCCCUCCACCCACGCACCCUAAACAAUCAAUAAGUAAUAAUAUAUAUAUAUAUUAUAAUUUCUACAUAACUUAAUCCUACAUAAAUAAUACAUGCAUAACUAAUAUUUGCAUAAUUAAUACCUACAUAAUCAAUACAUGCAUAACUAAUACCUGCAUAACUCUAACCAGUAACCAAACGGUCCCUAAUUGUUUUAUUUAUUUAAUCAAUUCAAUAAAAUGUUACAUUAAAUAGAUUAUGAUAUAUAUGUCCUCAAGUGAUAAAGUAUAUGAUUUACAAUAUAGAGUUUAAACUUAUAUACAUAAGAUUAAAUUAACGAUUCUUAUAAGCUAAGUACUAAAAGAUUAUCUAUUAUGCAAUACCAACAAUUGCUUACCAAAAUAUUAGGGAGGAUCAACUAUUGGACCAUUAAAUUUCUAUUCUAUGCAGGAAGAUAGUUGUUUGAUCAGUACUGUGUUGUUCUCAAUUCAAGUUUUAUUGAUCUCAAAUUUUUGUUCAACCAACAAAAGUCAUAAAACUUGUCCAUAUGUCAUGUCUAUUUUUAUUCUAUACAACAAUAAUAUGGUAAAACUAAGUAAUUUUAUAUUCUGAUAUCAUAAUCUUUAGCACUUUUUGUAAUAAAAUUUUUAUGUUUUAAGGUUCAAAUUUGAAAUCUCUUAUAAGGUAACAAUAUUCUUGCCAUUCUAUACUAUACAACUCGUUGGUCAUUGUAUUAUCAUAUCACGAUUCAUAAAGCAAGUAUUAUUAUUUAGUUCCACAACAAUUUGUGUAAUCAGUGUAUUGAAAAUUUUAAUACCUUAAUUAGUUGACUAUUUAAAUUUUUAUUUUAUUGAUGAAUUUAAUUCUCCAUCUUAUAAUCCUCAUUGUCUGCUACCCCUAACAUUUAAAAAGAGAAAUAGAAAUAAAAGAGAAAUGUAAUAGAUGGAUCAAACAAUUCCUUAAAUCAACAUGUGCAGCAUGUCUCCUUAACAAAUUAAAAAACAAUCAAUAGUAGUACUUUAAUUGUAACCAUGAAAUGAGAAUUUAAGUACGUGUUUGAACGUGCAAUUUUAUCUUGUGAUUUAAAACUAUGAGAUGAAAUUAGUAUUUAUACAAGUGAUUUCAUCUCAGGGUGAAAUUUCAAAUUUUUCAAAAAGCUUAUUUGAGAAUUUCAUAUUUUUUAAAUAUAAAAAUUAGUCCACAAAUUUAUAUUUUGUAAAAAAAUACCCAUCAUUUUAUAUUUACUGAUCGUUUAUUUCACAGGUAAACAAAAUUUAUAAUUAGUAUGAUUACCCUUACAAGUUACAAGCCUUUAAAUCACCAUUAAUGAACAUGAGUUCAAUAAAAAAAAAGUGUUGUGUAGUAUAAUUCAUGUUCAAUAUUUACUUUUUAAUUAAAAUAUUGAUAAAAAAAUCUUGCAAUUUUGAUAGUUCAUAGCUUAUGCAGUUUUUAUGUUUACGAGCAAGAAAAUACAAUUUAAAAAUUCAAAUUACAUGUUCAAACAAAACUUUAAUUUUCUCUCAUAAUUUCAUAUAAUUUCAACUCACAUGACCAAACAUGUUCUUAAUGUCAUUUGAUUGACUAUAUAGACAUUCAUCAAAACCUCGAUGAGAGUUCAAUUUCCACCUUGAAUUUCUUGCUCGUUUCUCUUUUUUUUCUACCCUCACUUUUAGUAUAACUAAAAACAAAAUUAAAAAUUGUUCCCUCGAAAUUUAGUUCUAAGCAUAUAAUGUCUAUACAAAAACGCUUUGUUUAUAAAAUGAUCAUGUCUCUUAGCCGUUCUUUUUCCUUAAAAAAAAAACAAAAAAAAGUCAAUGCUUUUUUAAAAUGACAAAAAAGAAGAAAAGUCGUAUCACAUAAUCCUUUUAUUUUGGAAAAUUAUAAAAUAAUAAAUAAAUAUUGUAUAAACGACAGAAUUUGAUUCUUUUCCUAAAAUAACUUGUAUGACAUAAAAUCCAAGUCAUCAUUCAUAUAUAUAAAAAAUAAAAUACUAUCCCAUUUUUUCUCCUCUCCAUUCCCUAUAAGUGUUUGUGUCACCACACACAAGUAACGACCCCUCAAUUUGUCAAUAAACAAAUAAUAGGAUUAGUUAAUUAACAAAGGAAGAAGAAGAUUAUGGAAUUUCAAUGAUGAUUUGUGUUAGGAUUAAGAGAUCAUGAAGAUGAGGAUGGAAUUAGUUGAACCACGACGACAACAACAACGACAAGAAGAAAAAGGAGCCUUUGAGAGGAAGAGUAGUAGGGGAAAAAGUACAAGAAGAAAGAUGACAAUUAGUAUUGUUGAAGAAGAAGAAGAAGAGAGCCCAAAGAUUGUGGAUCUAAGUGGCAUGUCAUUAGACUCUCUUCCUGUAAAUCCUACUAUCAAUUUGGGAGCUAUAUCCAAAUUACAUAUUUCCAACAAUAAUCUUCAGGUUGGUCAGCUUUCGUACACCUCAAUUAAUUUUUGUGAAAUAUCUGUUAUCUUCUAUCAGCAAUAAGCAAUAUGUACUAGAUGACUCUGUUCAUAGAGGUUAGGAUAGAUGAAUAGAUUCACUUAGUGUUUUUUUUUUGUCUUCGCUAGAAUUAAUUGAACAACCACUUCGUUGAUCACUAUAUGCUAUCAUGAAUUAUUUAUUUAUGAGAAUUUUAUUCAUGAUGGAAUAUUUUUAAUCUUUGAUUGGAAAUUAAGUGAAAAAUAUCUUUUUUUGAAAUAAGUGGUGGCUAAAGUAUUUGAUAUGAAGAUAAGAUAAUUAUGAAGAAAAAUGUUUUAGUCAAAACCGAGUGAAGUUAUUUUCCUCAUUUUGACCGGAGGCGAACUAGUUGAUUGCUUUGAAUUGUAUCAGUAGCACAAGGACACUAUUAAAAACACUAUUGCAUUUCAUAAAUGUACGAUUAAUUAUAUAUUAGUUUAUGUCGAUAUUAAUAGGUGGACGUGCACUACCUAUAUAGGUGGAUCUGCCUCUAAUAUAAUUUUGACCAAAGAAUAUUUUUCUAAAAAUAUUUUCUGACAAGCACUCACGACUAGUAUUUUGGAAAACAUUAAUUUUUCAAUCAUACCAAAUACAGUCGUUGCUUCCAUUUUUAGUUGCUUUUGGUUCCUUGUACUUUCACAAAUAUUUAGUUUUGUUUAAUUUCUUCCAUAUUUAUGGAAAGAAAUAUAUUUAUCAUUUACCUUUCUUCUAUUUUACGCAACAAUAGUUAUUAUAUGUUUCCUAGUUUUCAAUUUGUUUAUUCAGUGUUGAGUUGAUAUUGAGUUUCAAAAGGUGGAUAAUUUUUUUAUUGUUAUAGUCUUAAACUAAAAAUAUGUAAAAUGUAUCAAAAUAUUUUUUAAUUUUGUGGUUUUAAACAUGUCUUGUGGAAAGUUAGAAUUAAAGAGGUGUCAAAAUAAGAAUUUAAUGUACUACUAUAUUUUCUUAAAAUAUUCCCCUUUACUUGAUAAUGAGUCGUUUAUGUGAACUAUACCGUAUAAUAUUUUCAGGAAUAAAAGGCAGUACUAUUUUAUUCUGUGUUUAAUACAAAACAAACAAUAUAAAUUUUAACGGAUCAAAUUAAAUCCAAAUCAACCGUCCUAACGUCAUAUUUUGUCGUUCAUCAUUAUUUUAAAUUGACCCAAUAGUAAGGAUAAAGUCUAUUAGUUUAUUUUUUACUUCAUUGAUACAUUUUAAAAAAUAUAUAUAUAACAACUUGAUAGGUUUUCUAAUUAUUCGUAUUAAACGCAAUAGUAUAUUUUUCUGGUUGUUAUAUGUAUGUGUGGAUUGUGGAUUUACUUAAAUAUAAUUGACAAAAUUUCACAAAACACGAUAGUACAUAACGUAACAACAUUUUCGUUAAUUAUAUAUCCCGUCUUUGUUUAAAGUCUAAUACAAUGUAUAUAUCUCUUAUUGUGUUUUACAAUGUGUAUGUGUCUCACUCAUCUCUCUUCUUCUAUGUAUUUGUAUUUUAUAAUGUAUAUGUGUCUCACAAUUUCAAUUAUAAGUACCAUACAAAUAUCUGAUACACAAAUACAUCGACGGUUUAUAUUUUUUUUUUAUAUCAAUGUAUCUAUUUCAUACAUGUAUCGAUUUUAAGUAGCAUGAAUUGUAUCAUAGAUUAACACUUUAUCAUUUUACUCUCUCUGUCCAACAAUAGUAGUCCACUAUUGACUUGGCAUACCCCUUAAGAAAGAAUAAAUAAUAGGGGUAAUAUUACUAUAUUAUCUUUUGACUUUAUUAAAUUUAAUGUUUUGAGAAAUGUGUUAGAUGAUAAAUAGUAUUUAACAGUAAGGGUAAAAUAGAUCUCUUGAUUUUCUUAAUUGGACAAGUAUUAUUGAACAACUAUUUUUAGUAGGAAAAAUGACAAAUAUACCCUCGAACUAUCGUAAAUGGUUUGGAGAUACCCUUCGUCAUACUUUUGGGACAUUGGUGCCCUGUCGUCCAAAAAGUAGAGCAUAUAUACCUUUCAUACUAACGGACAUACACGUGUCACAAUCUUAUCCACUGACCCACAUUUAUUAAAUAUCGAAUCGACAGAUAAGAUUGCGCCACGUAUCCCUAUUUAGUCUUCCGUUAGAGUGAAGGGCAUAUAUGCUCUAGUUUUUGGAUGAAGGGGCACCAAUGUCCCAAAAGUAUGACGGAUGAUAUCUGCAUACCAUUUACGAUAGUUCGGGGUAUAUUUAUCCUUUUUCCCUUUUUAGUAUAGUGGACAACACUAUUGUUGGACAGAGGAAGUACUAGACACAAUGAUUUUAGGGUAAGUCACAUUCUUAUUUGGUUGGACGAUUUUCAAUUAUCAUGUAUCACUUGUGUAUAUAAAUACACAAACACACAUCUGUAUCUCUUCAAAGUUCCACUCAUCUGCCAUAGAUACAUAAAUACAUUGAUACACAUAUAUAUCUCGUCAAAGCUAAGCACUCAAUUAUAUUAUAUCAUGGAUGCACAUUUACAUAUAUACACAAAUACACAUAUAUAUAUCUCUUAAAAAUAUUCCACUCGUCUUUCAUGGAUACACAAAUACACAUUCAUAGAUACGCAAUACACAUAUAUAUCUCCUCAAAACUACUCACUCAUUUGCAAUAGAUGCACAAAAAUAUAGAUACACAUAUACACAAAUAUACAUAUGUAUCUCUUCAAAGUUGCACUCUAAUUUGCCAUAGAUGCACCAAUACAUAUAGUCCCUCUGUAAAGCGAGAGAGGGGGAGAGGGAGGAGAGUGGCGAAUUUGCUACGAAAAAGGGAAAUCUCAUUGAGUUAUGUAAUUUUUUAAAACUAUAAAUAGGUUGAGUAGAUAUAUAUACUAGCUAUGCUUGAUUAAUUAUGUAAUUUUUCAUGUAUAAUUCUCACUUCAUUGUUUUUGUUGUAUGUUUGACAGAGUAUACCAGAGUCUUUAACAGCAAGACUACUUAACUUGGUUGAGUUAGAUAUGCAUUCCAAUCAGCUCAACUCCAUUCCCAACUCUAUAGGUUGCUUAUCAAAGCUCAAACUUCUCAACAUUUCUGGGAAUCUCCUUCUUUCGCUCCCUAAAACUAUCGAGAAUUGCAGGUUAGUCAUCUAAACAUUUCUAAUUCAUAACAUUAUCACUACAACAAAAGAGAUAUUUAGUAGCAAUUGAAUUACUGUCAUUGCAUUCAGAGUCGCUAAAGCCUUUAGAACAUAAGUAUAACCUUUUCUUCCUACUUGCAGAUCAUUGGAAGAGUUGAAUGCCAACUUCAAUAUGCUUACUCAUUUACCGGACACCAUUGGAUUUGAGCUCAUAAAUCUCAAGAAGUUAUGCAUAAAUUCAAAUAAAAUAGCAUACCUUCCUUACUCCACCUCCCACUUGACCAAUCUUCGCGUGUUGGAUGCUAGGCUAAACUGCCUUAGAUCACUCCCCGAUGAUCUUGAGAACCUAAUCAACCUUGAAAUCCUUAACGUUAGUCAAAAUUUCCAGUACCUCUCAAAGUUGCCCUAUUCAGUAGGAUUUCUCAUUUCUCUUCAUGAACUAGAUGUUAGUUACAACAAGAUUACUGAAUUACCAGAUUCCAUUGGAUGCUUGAAGAAGCUCCAGAAGCUGAGUGUAGAAGGCAACCGCCUUGUUUCUCCCCCACCGGAGGUAGUGGAGCAAGGGAUACGUGCAGUUAAGCAAUACUUAUGUGAAAAGAUAAAUGGCAUGCAUGACAAGUCCCCUAAGAAGAAGUCAUGGUUUGGAAAACUAGCAAGAUGUAGCACAUUUAGUGGUGCUAACAUACCAAGAGAUGAUAGAGAGGACUUUGGUGUUCCAAGCAAUCGAACUAUCGAUGUAAUUGCCUCACCGCGAUUUAUGGGAAUGCUUUCUCCUCGUCGUCUUCUAUCUCCAAAAACCUACUUCUCCAAAUAAGGGACAUUGCAAUUUGCUUGGAUAUCAUAUUGUGGUAGCUCUUAGCUUGUUUUCUUUUACGUUUGAAAUCGUGCAAUGUGUGCUAGAUCAAGCUGUACAUUAUGUUCUGUAGAUUUUGUUGUCUUUGAGAUUGUACAGAUUUUCAUAGAUGAUUAGCCUCAUGAGUCAUGGGUAUGUUUGAGAGGUAGAGGUACAAAUUUACCCGAACAGGGUGUUUAUAUCAAAUCAUAUGAAUAAUUACAUCGAAUCAAAAUUUGUUAUCGUAACAAUAUCACUUGUACAAAAACUCAUUUUGUUCAUUAAUUAUCAAAACUCAAAAAAAAAUUAUCUUACAUAAACAGAACCAUUAAAAAAACCCCAAAAAAACAGAACAUGACUCUUAGAAAGCAAACAGAACAAAUGAAAAACUUGCCAGAAUCACAAAUUAUGAAUUAGUUUCUUGCACUUGCGAUUCAUUUCUUUGCAAAUCCGAUUCACUUCUCCUGUUAAACGACCAUUCUCUAAUGGUAGACAAAACUGGCUUCCAUGCUCGCGAUUUAUUUGAUCUUUCUCCAAAUUUGCACGAAGUUGUGUUAGUUGCACCACUUUUAGCUAUGCAACUGAGUUUUCUAGCUAUUGGAACUAAAUCCAUUGGAGAAACACUUGAUUGAAAUAAGGAUUUAGGCAAUAAAUAGUAAAUAUGGCCUUGUUCUAACUUAGUAUCAGGGUUGAGAGGCUUUGAAGCAGCAGAUAAAAGUUGGGCAUGAGUGAAGACAAAGUGUUUUUGAGAUUUGGCCAUGAGUUCAUGUACACUAAUAGGAUGAUCAAAAUCCUCUACAUGACCAUUUAAAUGUACAACUCUAAUAGUCUUUAAUAUAUCACAAGAUUUGGGAGAAAAACAACAAUAUGUUAUUUUGAUGUACAUAUUGUUAAUUUUUUCCUUAUUUCUCUCUAGCUAGUGUGUAAAAGGGCUCCAAAGAAGAUGUCCUUUUAUACAAGGGGAAAGAUGGUGUUGAAACCAGGUUGUGGUGCGGUAGUGGAAUUGCUCCACCCUUAAUCAAAGAUCUCAGUUUCGAGCUCUGGGUAUGAAGAAAAUCCUAUUGGGAGUGCUAUCCUCGGAUGGGUCUUGCAGUGUGCAAAUACAGAUUUAAUCUAAGCUCCAAUGCAGACUCCGAAUAUUGAGUGGAAAAUCAAAAAAAUGGUGGUGGGGAAGAGUUGUGGAGAUAGAUGAUGAGAACACGCUAUUUAAGUUAGAAAUUUUUUUUAUUUGCUUCAAGGCUUAUGUGACGCUUCCAAUAGGAUUUUCUUCAUAUUCAAGGUUCAAAACUGAAACUUCUGAUUAAAGAUGGAGAAGUCUCAUCACUGCACCAUAUUAUGUUGGUAGCUAAAUAUUAUUAUUAACUUCAAUAUAUAAUAUUUUUCAUUAACCAUACACUAUUUUUUUGAAGAAAAAUACAUGGCGUAGUCUUGGGGGUUGACGGAGUCUAGAGAAAAUAUACAAAAAUGCAAUCAUUAUCGUGAUAGUCAAUAUUGGGACGCCACUUCAUAUGUCGCUUUAGGAUUUAAGUAAUAUAUUAUAGGUAUAUAUUGAUUUUUUAUACUAACGGUGGAUAAUAAUUUAUAAUAUAACAUACUCCGCUAAUUUCAAUUUAUGUGAAAUAUUUGAUUGAAUAUGAAAUUUAACAAAAAAAAAUAAUGAAUGUUCAAACUCAUGAUCUACUAAAAUUCAUAGAUAUUUAUGUUGCAAAAAAUUAUCUCAUUGAAGUUGCUUAAAAAGUGGUAGUCACCCAUCGUAUGUUCUUAGGACUAUGACAUUUAUAUCACUCCAAGCUUUGGAAAAUAGGUCUCCCCUUGACUAGUAAAAAGGAGAAAAGAAAAUGUGAUAUUUUAUUUGGGAACACGUAGUUGAAACUUGGAAGGUCCAAAACCAAAAAUUAGGAUAGAAUGUUAGGUAGCAAUUCACCAAUAUGUGAUAAGAGGUUGAAAGACCUUGACUCUCUAGAGGAAGACUUGACUAAAAACAACCAUUUGGUAGAGUGUAUUGGAGAAAAUAAUAAUUGUAUUAGUUUGAUGUAUUAUUGAUAUCGUGUUUGGUACAUUUUUUUAAUCUAUGCCUAACUAAUGCUUGUAUUAGUAAUACACUCUAUUGUGUAUUGAAGAGUGUAUUACUAUUCCACAGAUUUCUAUGCAUUAGUAAUGCAAUGGGUUCUAAUGCAUGCAUUAGCAUUGUUAAAGACAUAAUUGUCCCACAAAAAUCUUCACUAUAUAUGUGGAGGGUAUUUUUGUAAAUAAUUUUUUUUAAUGCAAUUCAUGUUAUUUUUAGUACAUCAAACCAAACAUUGCAUAAAAAAAAUCUCAAGCAUAACUAAUGCAAGCAUAACUAAUACAAUCAUAACUAAUGCAAACAUUACUAACAUACUAUAAUUUGCAUUAUUUUUAUACACUCUACCAAACGACCCUUUAGACUUCUUCAAUAAAUCCUGGAAUAAGACAAUAAUUUCAUGAUUGUGAUGAAUUAAUAAUAAAAAUACAAGGAAACAAAAUAUAGAGAAAGACAUUGGGGGGAGAGAUUUUAUUUCUCUUGAAAUUGAUAUUCUAAUGAACAAAUUUAUUUUUUCUUAUAUAUUGAAGAAAAAAAGUUGUUAUAAUAUUGAGCCCGUAAUUCGUAUAAGGAACAAAUAUAUUUUAUAUGUUCCUUCAUAAGUUACUGGCAUUGUGUUAAGUAAAGCACAUGCAGUAAUAACACAAUAUUAUAACGUGGAAAAUCCUGGUUCAUAAUAGGUAAAAUAUCACGAUCUGCACAUUUGUAAGAUUUAACACAACUUCAAUAAAUUCUAAGCUAACGAUUUUAUAUUACAAUACAUGCAUGCAAUCCUAUGAACUAACUCUAAUUCCUAUGAAUCAACAAUCACUAUGAGUCUUCAAGUUGCCCCAACUGGAAGAAUAACUUAAGCUAUGAAAAAAAAAAGAUUACAACUCGAUAAUUAAUGAUCUUGGACAUAUUUAUAUGCCUAAGAGGCAAAUAACACCCAUACUUUAGCCAAGUUUAAGGACAAAUUCCCAUUUUAUUGAUAGUGUUCGAGUCAUGUUAGUGCAUUAUGAUAAACCAAUGUGAUUAGUGAUUGUAGGUUGGGAAACAGAGAAAAAGACACAAAAGUGAAAGCACAUGAAGUGGAGUUGAAUCCGAUCACAAAGCACAAAGGACAAAAGGUCAAAGGAUAAAAGGAAUUUCAAAGUGAGAAAAACUCUAGCUUGGUAUCCCCUCCACGUCGCAUAGAGGGAAUUUAUUAUUUCACACUCGAUGACUGCUGAGACAAAAAAACACGUAUGCUUUCUGCGUCACGGAGAGGAAGAGUUCAGGAAAUUGUGAAAAAGCAAUGCACCUCCGCGUCGUGGAGGUGGAGCUCAGAUUUAUGCCAACUUUUUCCAAAUUAUAAAUAGACUUGGAUUUUAUUGUUUCAAAUAUUCUCUUUUUUUGGCUUUUGGAAAACGACGACUUGGAGAACUUUACUUCAAAUUUAGGGUUCAUUCAUACUCUUUACUUUUAUCGAUUUAUCUUAUGAUUAUUAAAUACUUGAAGAUUGAAAAUCACAUUAUGAGUAGCUAAAUUCCCUAGGAUUAUGGCUACAAGAUAUGAUUGUGUAUUAUUGAACUUUAGGGAUUGAAGUUGGUUAUCACAUAAAUUACUCUUUUGUUCUUGAUUUGGUAUUUCAUAAUUGGCCACCAUUGAAAUAAACUUAUUGGCCAAAUUGAACUCGGGAGAGGGAUAGGAGGAUAGAAUGUGGGACAAAAGAAGCAUGAUCUUCUUUAGAAACUAGGGUUGAUUUGUAUAUAGAAUAGGAUAUACCUAGAGACUUUGCUUGAUUAUAAAACUAGAUGAAAAUGUAAUGCUCGGCAAUUGGUUCAUUCUAUCCCAGCUCAACGAUGUAGUUAGACUAUCAAUUGCGGUAGACAAUUAGAGGUAGGGACAUCAUGAUCAUACAUUUAACCCUGUAAAUCAGUGAUUUGCCAACCAAUUAAAGUUCAUAAAAGAAUAUAUUAUGCUUGAAAUCAAAGGAUAUAAUUAUAUUUGUUUAUAUAUUGUAUUCAUUAAUAUAAAUUGUAUUCAUUGAUACAAAGUGAAUAUACAGAAUAUAUAUAUANNNNNNNNNNNNNNNNNNNNNNNNNNNNNNNNNNNNNNNNNNNNNNNNNNNNNNNNNNNNNNNNNNNNNNNNNNNNNNNNNNNNNNNNNNNNNNNNNNNNNNNNNNNNNNNNNNNNNNNNNNNNNNNNNNNNNNNNNNNNNNNNNNNNNNNNNNNNNNNNNNNNNNNNNNNNNNNNNNNNNNNNNNNNNNNNNNNNNNNNNNNNNNNNNNNNNNNNNNNNNNNNNNNNNNNNNNNNNNNNNNNNNNNNNNNNNNNNNNNNNNNNNNNNNNNNNNNNNNNNNNNNNNNNNNNNNNNNNNNNNNNNNNNNNNNNNNNNNNNNNNNNNNNNNNNNNNNNNNNNNNNNNNNNNNNNNNNNNNNNNNNNNNNNNNNNNNNNNNNNNNNNNNNNNNNNNNNNNNNNNNNNNNNNNNNNNNNNNNNNNNNNNNNNNNNNNNNNNNNNNNNNNNNNNNNNNNNNNNNNNNNNNNNNNNNNNNNNNNNNNNNNNNNNNNNNNNNNNNNNNNNNNNNNNNNNNNNNNNNNNNNNNNNNNNNNNNNNNNNNNNNNNNNNNNNNNNNNNNNNNNNNNNNNNNNNNNNNNNNNNNNNNNNNNNNNNNNNNNNNNNNNNNNNNNNNNNNNNNNNNNNNNNNNNNNNNNNNNNNNNNNNNNNNNNNNNNNNNNNNNNNNNNNNNNNNNNNNNNNNNNNNNNNNNNNNNNNNNNNNNNNNNNNNNNNNNNNNNNNNNNNNNNNNNNNNNNNNNNNNNNNNNNNNNNNNNNNNNNNNNNNNNNNNNNNNNNNNNNNNNNNNNNNNNNNNNNNNNNNNNNNNNNNNNNNNNNNNNNNNNNNNNNNNNNNNNNNNNNNNNNNNNNNNNNNNNNNNNNNNNNNNNNNNNNNNNNNNNNNNNNNNNNNNNNNNNNNNNNNNNNNNNNNNNNNNNNNNNNNNNNNNNNNNNNNNNNNNNNNNNNNNNNNNNNNNNNNNNNNNNNNNNNNNNNNNNNNNNNNNNNNNNNNNNNNNNNNNNNNNNNNNNNNNNNNNNNNNNNNNNNNNNNNNNNNNUAUAUAUAUAUAUAUAUAUUUGUAUUUGUAUUUGUUGAUACAAUUGUAUUCGUUAACACAAAUUAAUUGUGAAUCACACUUACAUGCAUAUUUAUGUAUCUGGUAUGAUUCAUGUGUAUCUUAGAUAUAGAUUACAUACACAGCAAUAUGGGAGGGAGGCGAGGAAGAUUUGUAUAUGUAUCAUAGAUAUAUGCGAAUCUACUUGAAUACAGUGUAUCUAGAACAAAUCACACCUAAUAUUUGACCUCAUGUAUCCCGAGAUACAUGUAUCUAGACACAUCAAAAUUUUGUAAGAUUUCUAAUAUUGCAAACUAGAACAUAUCUAAAUAAUUAGCUCCUAAACUAGUGAAAUUAAAUAAAAUAUAGUUAAGGUGAAACUCUAGUCAUUUUUUAGAGGGUCAAGUUUCAAGCAUUAGCAUUCCCAAAGGCCCACAUAGUAUUUUGGGUUGAGACCAGAGAGAGAAGGAAUGUGUGGAUUUUCUUAUUAGGCCCAAAUUUCGACCCGCUGGUUUAUCUUCUUCAGCCAUGGCGAUUGAAGCACUCUGUACGUUCCUUUCUCUCUCUCUCUCCACCCCAAUAUUUGGAGUCUUAAACUCCAUUUUCAUGGUUGAGUAAGUUUCAUACUUCUUUACAAUUUAUUACAAGUGAAUUUGCACUUUUAUUUGAUUGUUUACUCUAAAUAUUUGAUAUUGUAGUAAUUUCAUAACAAUUAUCAUGGAAACAGCUGUUAUUAACACAUUCCCUAGCUUCAAAAUACCUCCUUCCUAUAUCACAAUGAAAAAUUACUUGCUUUUUUAUCCUGUAAAGACUGCAUUUUUAAUUAGUAAUUCAAGAAUUAAGUUAUCCUCCAAGUUUCAUAUAUGUUGCUUAGAUCCUUCUAGAAGUCACAAUUCCAUAGGAACUAGAACUUUGGUUGAAAAUGAAGUAGAAGAAGAAGAUGAUGAUGAUGAUGAGGGUUCUACUGAUAGUAAAAAUCAGGUUAGGGAGGACCCGUCCGAGGUGGACUGGGAAGCAAAAUUCCUUGGAAAGAUGGAGCCAUCUGGAGAUGUUUUACCUGAAAAGAAGAAAAAGAAAGUAAAUUCUAGAUUGCUUAAGAAUACAGAAACAAUGGAUUGGUGUAUGAAUGCUAGGAAAGUUGCUCUUAAGUCUAUUGAAGCUAGAGGAUUGACUCCUGUUAUAAAGAGUAUGGUUAGUGGAAAUAAAAAGACCAAAAAGAAGAAGAAGAAGAAGAUUAUAUCUAAGGUUGAUAAGAAAAGUCCGGAUGAAGAAAUUGAUGGAGAGUUGGAAUUUGACUCGGAUGAUGAGGAUUUCGAUUUGGAUGUUGAAGUUCCUCAAGGUAAUAGAAGUGACCUUAAAAUGACAGUAAGCAUGUUUGCUGAUGGUAUGUUUGAGGAACAGAAAGCUAAAAACAUGGAAACGUUUGUCCAAAGGCUAUCUGAAUUUGCAGGACCAUCGGAUCGUAAGAAAGAAAUUAGCUUGAAUAAAGCAAUUGUUGAAGCACUGACAGCUGAAGAAGUGUUAGAAGUCACUUCUGAGACAGUCUCAGCUGUUGCCAAAGGGCUUACCCCUUCGCCUCUUUCUCCAUUAAAUAUAGCCACAUCAUUGCAUAGGAUAGCGAAGAACAUGGAGAAAGUUUCAAUGACUAGGAGCAGAAGGUUGGCAUUUGCUCGCCAAAGAGAGAUGUGUAUGCUUGUAAGCAUUGCUAUGACUGCUUUGCCUGAGUGCUCAGGACAGGGUGUUUCAAAUAUUGCAUGGGCACUGUCAAAAAUUGGUGGUGAGCUUCUCUAUUUGACAGAAAUGGACAGAGUAGCAGAAGUAGCGUCGACUAUGGUUGAGGAGUUCAAUUCACAAAAUGUUGCUAAUAUAGCUGGAGCCUUUGCGUCAAUGCAGCACUCUGCUCCGGAACUAUUUUCGAGGUUAGCAAGAAGGGCCUCGGACAUAAUUCAUACUUUUCAGCCUCAAGAGAUUGCUCAAGUCUUGUGGGCUUUUGCUUCUCUGUACGAGCAACCUGGUCCCAUGCUUGAUGCACUUGAUAAUGUUUUUAGUGAUGGUAAUCAGUUUAAAUGCCGCUUGAAAGAUGAUAAAUUACCUUAUAGUAAAGACAGAACACCAGAUGGUACUGCAGAUGUUGAUUCUGGAGAAAUUAACUCUCCCGUGCUAAGUUUUAAUAGGGAUCAGCUAGGUAAUAUAUCAUGGUCUUAUGCUGUUCUUGGGCAGAUGAAUCGAGUUUUCUUCGCCAAUGUAUGGAAUGCUCUCAGCUAUUUUGAGGAGCAACGGAUAUCUGAGCAGUAUAGAGAAGACAUUAUGUUUGCUUCCCAAGUUCAUCUUGUGAACCAAUGUCUCAAGCUAGAGUACUCACAUCUUGACUUAUCCCUGAAAGGUGAACUGGAGGAAAAAAUUUCCAGUGCUGGAAGGACAAAACGGUUCAAUCAGAAGGUUACUUCCUCAUUUCAGAAGGAGAUUGCUCGCCUUCUUGUAAGCACUGGGCUAGAUUGGGUAAGAGAACAUGCUGUGGAUGGUUAUACCCUGGACGCAGCGGUCAUUGACAAAAGAGUUGCUCUUGAGAUAGAUGGCCCUACUCAUUUCUCAAGGAACUCAGGUGUUUAUAGCUUCUUAUUAAUUCAUUAUCAUCUGCAGACCUGUUAGUAUCAUAAUUUUUUUUAAUCAUCCGUUUUCCAAAUUAUUAUAAUGUUACAUUUUUCUGAAAUCUGUGAUGACGUUAUUACCCCCCUUGCAGGAUCCCCCUUGGGACAUACAAUGCUAAAGCGGAGAUUUAUCACUGCUGCUGGUUGGAAGCUCGUAUCUGUCCCUCAUCAGGAAGUAAGUUUUGGCAUAUUUUCACUUAUGAUCAGUUAUAUCUGAUUGAAGAUUAUUGGCAUUCUUAUCUUAGUAAAGCUGAAUGAGAGAUGUUUCUGUGAACUACUUCUCACCUUCUGCUUCCUGCCCCAAAAAAGAGGGAGAAAACUAGUUCAACAUGGGAAACACUGAAGGAUUUCCAUCCAACAUUAGGUUCACCCACUCUGGAGCAAUAACGAUCGCAAGUACUAUAUUAUAAACAAACACUGUCAAUAUGAUUACAAUAGAACUGAAACUUGAAGGAAACAGAAACAAUACAGAAGCAUGAAUAAAGAUAAAAGAAGGGGAUGAGGAUUAGAAGGACACAAGGCUGAGAAUAAGAAAUUUCUAUAACUUGUUGCCUACCCUAACUCAUUACUCAUCCUCAUUUUAGCUACUUAUACUAACUCCAAGCACCUGUGUUGUCCUAAACGUGAUUUGCCCGAGUCACAACAAAAUCAGUUAAUUUCUUAGGCGCAGUCCUCAUACGCGUGCUUCUCCUUGGCACCACAUUCAGGUUAUCCAGCUCAGCAGAAUGUGGGUACACAACACACUCCCCUGGAUUCAAUGUUUUGUACCGUCAUUCAUCACUUUAUUAGCAACUAAAUGUCAAAGAGAAAAUAGACAGACAGAUUCAUAAGUGUGAUACAAACAAAGCUUGCAGGAAGCAAGGGUCUGGGUUUAGCAUUAUACUUCACCUCUCUGUCGUCCAAAAAAUGAGCAAACCAAGUGAUAUUGUGAUAGCAAGCCUCCAUGUCUAUUCGCCCAGUUUAUCCCCUGAUUCCCUUCAUAUAUCAGACAAACAGCCUUAAAGAGUCAAUUGGGGUGACCCUAGCUUGUUGAUGUGUAUGUUUAGGACGUCUUAUCUAAUUUGAAGGGUAACUAUUGGCUUCCUAUGAAACAUUACCGAAAUCCAUUUGCUGUGUGUCAGACCAUGUGAGCCCAUGGCAAGUUGCUCAAUAAAAGUUUUGGGGUGUUAUGGCAAACUUAAGGAAAAAAAUGUUCACAGCUAUCUUUCUGCAGGGAGAGGAAAUAAAGGAAAUAAGUUACUAAAAAUCAUUCUCUUCCUGCAACUUGCAAGGGCUGUUUCAAUAUAUGCAUCGUUCCCUUGGUGUUAUUAUGAUAGAAGGGCACUUCAAUCAAAUAAAGAAAACUAUUCAGAGCAGCUUCAAUUAUUAGAUGUUGGUCUGAUGUUGUAGUUACCUUCUUCCACACAUAUUAACAAUUUGUGAACAUAGUUCAUGGACACAAAUCUUUUUGCAUUUCUUUUUGUAUGUAAAAUGUAAUAAGGACAAAUCGCAAUUUGACUAAGUGGCCCUUGUUGAUUAUAACUUUGCAGUGGGAAGAGCUUAAAGGAGGGUUUGAGCAGUUAGAGUAUCUCCGUGGCAUUAUCAAAGAUCAUUUCAAUGAAGGGAGCUUCAAUGUGGAAAUGGAAGAUGGUCAUUGAAGUAUAGAAUAGGAAAACCAUAACUGUAUUUUAUUGUGCUUCACUUGUUCCUUCUCCGUUCCUCUAUCAUAUAGCAGGUUUAUACUUCUCUUACUUUUCAAAGUUUAAAUGUCUUCAGACUUUUGAAUUUUAUACUAAUGUGAAUUGCUUUUAAAUUUUAAUAAAGUAUAAUUAUAUGAACUAAAUUUUGUGGUAAGCCUGUUUAUUUUUCCUGUAUCCUUCGUCAACGCAACAAAUAUUCUUGUUUUGCUGGGUUGACAAUGUUCCUAUUGUGAAGUUCUCUUUGUGAGGUAUUACUAAGUCACUUGUACUUGAAGAUAUAGAUUUACGAACUUCCUAACUGAAUAUCAAUCCUUGAUGUCGUUGAGAUCUCUUUAAUGGUUUAUGGAGUCGUAUACUUGUAAUAGAAGCACGCAUACAGUACGAGGCAUGGAGACUCUAGAAAGGACUAAACUUUGUAUUAAGUAUGCAUACCACACAACCUUUUACUUUAGGUUCAAUCUAUAUGCUGCAGAACUUAUAAUUUUGCUAGUAAUUCUGCUGCUACUGGCUUUUUAUGCAGGUAUCUUUUUACCCAAGCCAUAAAGUUGUUCCUGUGUUCUGAGAUGAUCUGGCUACAUCUAUAUGCAAGUAACUACUUUAUUAAGGUGUAAAGGCGUCGUUUCAAAGGUAACCGGUUAGGUUGACGAAAAUGCAGUAAGCAAAUAACUCAUUGGAAAAGAAGGUGGAAAUCUCGACAAAAGAAUUUCGUUUUGCUUGAGGGAUCGAAACUGAUACUAUAAUGUAGUAGUUUUUAUUUCCAAUGUGUUUGGAUACUAUUUUCAAGAGAGAAUUUGUAUGUUUUCUCCAUGCAUUAUUAGAAAAAAUAAUGCAUAUACUAGUUUUGUGUCUUAUUAAUAUCUUGUUUGAUAUAUCUUUUUAGCCUAUGUAUAACUAAUGCGAGAGUAAUACACUCUAUAUUGUGUAUUGAAGUGGAGUUUCAAUACAUACAUUAAAUUAGUUAAUGACAUAACUACCCCAGGGGUGGCUCAAUGCCUUUAAAAAUGAGGCUAUGCCUUAGGGGCCCAAAAUCAAAGGGCCUACUUUUUUAGUAAAAAUAAAAUUAUCUUAAGCUUUUUUUAACAAAAAUAAAUAAAUAAAGAAUGUUUUAAUUUGUUUCGAAACAUUAAAGAAUGUUUCUUUUUUAUGGAUCAAUUUUUAAAGUUAACUUCCACAUGAUAUGUUUAAGACCACAAGAUUAAAAAAUAUUUUGGUAUAUAUAUAUAUAUAUAUAUAUAUAUAUAUAUCUUUAGUUUAAGAUUAUAAAAAAAUAAAAGUUUUUUUUAUUAAAAAGAAAGAAAUAACUUGAAUCUCAAAUAUAAAAAAAUAAUUAAAAUUUAGGUCUCAAACUUAUUUUUGGUUUUAGGCCACUAAUUAGCUUGAGCCGCCACUGACUACCCCUCAAAUUCCUCUCCAGGCAUUUCCCAAAGGGUAUUUUUGGAAACAAACAUAUAGAGGUAAUGCAAUAUAGUAUAGUUUUUAAUACACUAAUCUAAACGCUGCAUAAGAAAUAAUCUUAUCAUAACUAAUUAAUAGAGUACAAUUAUUAUUAAUACACUUUAUUCAACAUUAUUCUACGAUCCAGAGUAUGUAAACAAAGUAUGUGGUGUACUGUAUAAUAGACCACAUGAAUGUAACUGAAAAAGACAUGUGUUAGGAAGUCCAAUAUCCUCGUACUCCCUUAUGUUCUACAUAUCAGGUAAUUCUUUGUUUUUUUGUUGUUGAUCAUGUUCUAAGCUAUGUCAUCUCCACGAAAAUCGGAAAAAAUUGGCAGGUCUUUCCGAGACAACGACAAGGAAGACAGAGAAGACGAGGAAAAAGGUGGAUUCGUUGGUAAAGUUAAGGACUUCAUCGAAGAUGUAGGUGAUAAAAUCGAAGAAAAAGUUGGAUUUGGGAAACCAACUGCAGAUGUUACUGCAGUUCAUUUCCCUUAUAUCAAUCUAAAAAAGGCAGAAAUAGUAGCAGAUGUGUUAGUGAAGAAUCCAAAUCCCAUUCCAAUCCCUCUCAUCGAUAUAAAUUAUUUGAUCGAGAGUGAUGGAAGGAAACUGAUCUCAGGAUUGAUCCCUGAUGCUGGAACAAUCCAUGCACAUAGUUCAGAAACUGUGAAAAUACCCGUGAAUUUGGUAUAUGAUGACAUAAAAGAUAUGUAUCGUGAUAUAAAGCCUGGAAGUAUCAUUCCUUAUCGGAUUAAAGUAGACCUCAUUGUUGAUGUACCUGUUUUUGGUAGACUUACUCUGCCUCUUGAGAAAAAAGGCGAGAUUCCUAUACCUCACAAGCCCAAUAUUGAUGUUGAGAAAAUACAUUUUCAGAAAUUUUCUUCUGAAGAAACAAUAGCUGUUCUUAAAUUGAGACUAGAGAACAAGAAUGACUUUGAUCUCGCGGUUAAUGGACUUGAUUAUGAUGUUUGGUUAUCCGAUGUCAACGUUGGUGGUGCUGAUUUAGAGAAAUGUGCGAAGAUUGGGAAGAAUGGAGUCAGCUAUAUGGAUCUUCCUAUUACUUUCAGGCCGAAAGAUUUUGGUUCUGCUCUUUGGGAUAUGCUUCGCGGGAGAGGUACUGGCUACACUAUGAAAGGUCAUGUUAACGUGGACACGCCAUUUGGUGCAAUGAAAUUACCUAUUAGUAAGGAGGGUGGAACAACGCGUCUCAAGAAGAAUAAAGAAGAUGGUGGAUCAGAUGAUGACGAUGAAAAUGAGGUUAGUUAAUAUUGUUUUAGCUUAAGAGAAACUUCAUGUUCACCUUUAGUUUAACUAGUUGGUUUGAACUACAAUUCAUUGUUAUACUUCAACCGCGAAUCGUACAAUGUCAUAUCAAGCCAUGACUAAUGGGGGCUCAUAUUGUUCAUGUAACGACUCCUCUUUGCCUAUGAAAUGAUCGUUGUAACUAUAUAUUGUUGAUCACUUAAAAUCUCCCACUACAUGAUCAUUGUCUGUGGAUGGGCUAUUGUAAUCAACUACUGGUCCCCUACCAAAUUGAGAGGGUGAAGCUAGAUUUCAUUUAACCACUAGACAAUGCGGGACCUUCUACGCCCAUGCUGUCAUUUAGCUACUAGACUAGAAAGUCCAUUUGCAGUGCAGAGACGGAGCCACCUUAGGUGAAGGGUGGUCUGGUGUGCACCCUUCAUCGAAAAAUUAUGUUAUGUGUACAGAGGCUAAAUGUUAGCUAUUACGAGUCCUAAACAAUGUGUUGCUUAAGCAUUUCCUUUUUUAUAUAUUUGACAGGAUUAAUUGAAGUUGCAAGAGGAAUAUUAACUUCUUGAGGUCCCAAAAUAACUAUUGAUUGAAGGCGUGGUUGUGAAAUUUAUCUAUGUAGCUAUAAGGUCUUGGAAUGUAUGUAUGUCCAUUUCAAUUAAUAUUAUUUUGCUAAAGGGACUAGUUGGUUUAUCUUUCUUAUCUUCUGAUUUCUCCAUGACUUCUUAUCUUUUACCAUAACAUAUAGGCAUGAUCAGGAGUGGGUCAAGUCGGAUAUGAGUCGGCUAAAAAUGAGCUGGAUAAAAAUAGAUAAAAUAUUUGAUUCAACUAAUACUUAAUAUGAUUUGAAAAUGGGUGAACUCAAUGGAUAAUAUGGGAUCAAUAUUACCCACAUUAUAUAUUAUGUAGAGAAAUACGUACUUCAAUUACAAUAUUUUAUUUUGUUCUUUUUCUCUUUUUAGGGUAUGUUUGGUAUGAAGAAAAAUAUUUUCAUUAUUUCUUUGUUAAGUUGGAUCACAGGCUUGGACUCAUUUCGGGUGGUGAGGUUUAAGGGAUGUACUUUUGAAAAGUAUUUUCCUGAUUUAAGAAAAGUUUUGAUUUUUUCCCCUUACUUUAGGUAUGGAAAUCACUUUUUUUCUAAAUUAGAGGAAAAUAAGUCCAUUUGAAAAAUAUUUUUACAAAAUAUUUAUGUCAAUCAAACAUGAAAAAAUUGAAAAAUAUUUAAUAAAAAUAAUUUUUCUUCAUACCAAAUACAUCCUUAAUAUGUGCACUUUUUAGAGGCUCAUAUACCCUUACAUGUAUUAAGGAGAGUGCGAUUGGUGAAUAUCCCUGAGUUAUUCAUAUUUUAUGAUAAUAUGAGUUGAUUCAUAUUUGACUCACUUUUAAAUGAUUGGAUAACAUCCAUUUUAAAAUGGUUUAAUUGAGCGGAUAUCUAUAUAUUUGACCCGUUUUCCCUACCAUAGGUAUAAUACAUAAAAGUAUACUUCCUCGGUUCCCUAUUAGUUUGAUCUUUUUUCUCUACACGCUUAUUAAGAAAAUAAAAAAUAAGUUUAUAAUUUUACUAAUUGAAAUUUUCUUAAUUUAAUAAGAUGGACAACUAAUAUAAAAUAACUAUUUUUAGUAAGAUGAUCAACUGAUAUGAGACAGAGAAAAUACUUAGAUUCAAUUAGUAUCUAUAUCCUACAAUUUUGAAUGUACACAAAUAAACACUUAAAUUUAUAUAAAAUUAAAUAACUAAAAACACACAUUAUCUAGAAAAUAGAGUAAUACUCCUUUCGUUUUAUUAAUUUUAGGAACAUUUUUUUUAUUCCAUCCCAAAAUUUGCAAGCUUUUCAAUUUCAACAUGAGAAGUUUAAAAUCACAACACAAAAUUUUAAUUUUUUUAAUAUUUUUUUUAUACCAAAUCAAAUUUAGAUACUUCAAUUGGACAAAGGGAAGUAUUAAAUUUAUGAAUUUACUUUACACGGUGUAAUGUAGAAUGGGAGUGAUUCUGUAAGAUUUUUUUUUCAUAUAUUAGAAUAGUCAGAUGUCAGUUCUUUUUAUUUGGUCAUUUUGUGGUAAAGAUUGUGUAAAUCUAAAGUGGUUAGAGACGUAAACGUACAAAAAUGGUUACAUACAGUGAACUCUAAAAAUAUAAUACAAGGAAAUUAACGGUUUGAAAAAAAAAAUUGGAUUAAUCGAUAACUCGAUAGUAAAUUAAAUAUUUAUAUUUAUAUCAUUCAGUAUAUGAAAUUCGUGACUUAGACUUCAGUUUUAUAUUUUUAUAUUUGAUUGUCUCGAACGUUUGGUUAUUCUACAAUAUGACGGUGUUUGCUUUUGAGCAAGAUGCAAUCUGUCAACUCAUGUGAAUAGUUCAUUUGGUUUGUUACCUUGUUUCUAAGUGAUUUUCAAUGAUUUUUUUUUGUGUCAAAUGUUGAUGAUUAAAUCGAUAAAUCGAACCAAUAAUGAUCAAUAACCGAUAAACUAAUACUACAUCUGUCCACUUUAAAUUGUCAUCUUGCGUUUUUCAAAAGUCAAUUUGACUAAUUUUCAAAGUUAAAUUAGAUUACAUUAAUUUGAUAUUUAAAACAAAAAAUUUAGAUAUGAAAAGUCGAAUAGUACUACAUAUGGCAAUUUUUUACAUAUCAAUAUGAUAAAAAAUACAUCAUAGUCAAAGUUCUUAUAAUUUGACUCUAAAAAAAAAGUGAACGGAGAGAGUAACUGAUAAGUCAACAUCUUAAUGAUUCUAUAGUGAUUUAGUAUGUCUACAAAACGAUAACUGAUACAUCAAAUCGAUAAAAUUCGAAAUCAAACCAAACCGACUACCCACAAUCCACCUCUUCAUUAUUCUUACGUAAUUUAAUUCACAUUCAUCCACAAAAUUAAUUCCUAUUUAGUCUUUCAUUUUGGUUAAAUUUGUCAACUUGUUUGCCUUUGACAAUAUGGGAAAGUUUCGUAACACUUGCCCAUCCAUCUUUAAUCAAUUCCUUGAACCUUCAACAUCAAUAUUCUUAAUUAUUUUUCCCAUGUGAAAAAUAUGUGAUUAAGAAUGGACUAAUGGUAAAUCUUUUCAACUUUAGAUAAAUUGAUAAAAUUAUGUGACGGUAAAAAUUUAUUCAAAAUUUGUGUAUUUUUUAAAAGAAGCGCAUCAUAUUUGAUUAGUUAAUUUGAAAAAUAUUUUUGUAAUAUUUAGAAUAGUUAUUUAUAUUUAACUAAGAUUUCAAAAAAAAAAGAUAUUUAUUUAUUUUCACCUUCUGCUCCUAUUAAAAAAAAAAACUUACUUUCCCUAAAAGUUUGGUCAAAUCUCCCCAACACUUAAUUGGACAAGAAGUCUUGGUAUUAAUAAUGAUGGGUUAUAAUAUUGGGGUUAAUAAUGAUGGAACUAUGUGAGUGUAAUUUUAUUGAUAAAUUUUGAUUCAUUGAAUUAAAAAUGAGAUUUACAUAUAAUAAUAUAAAAUAUUUGUGUGUGGUUUAAAUUAGAUAAAAUGCGAGAAAUUUUUAUUUUUAAUUUUGGUGUUCUUAAAGGGCUUUGGUAGAGGAGUUUGAAGGAAGGAAGACAUGUCAUGUCUGUGUUUUAGCUCAGGAUUACUAAUUUUGGAAUUAUUAUUUCAUAAAAAUUUGAAAUAAAAAUAAUAUUACCAUUGUGAUUAAACAAUAAGAAAUUUAAACUAGAUAAAUAAAUUAAGUCAGCGAAAUCAAAUACUAUAUAUACAUGAAAAUUUAGAAGAGUUGUAAUCCCGAAAUUACUCUUAAUAAGUGAUUACAACCAAUUUAAUUGCUUUCAGUUGCUUGAUUAAAAUUAUUAUAUAAAACACGCAUAAUCUCUCUUUGGUCACAUAAACACUUGCAUAAAUUUGUGGUAUUAGAUUAAACUAGGCUAUUGUUAAAUUACAAGUCUUUUUUAAAUCGAUGUUUGACUUUUUUGAGCCUCUAUAUUACUUACAAAUCCAUUUUAAGCGUUUAACAAACCAAUAAACCUUCUUUUAAGAAAUAGAAUCCUUGCCUCCUUGGUUUAGAUGAUUUUAGUUCUUUAUGUAUUCCUUAAAUAAAUGGAUCUUAAUGCUUUUAGAUAUUAUUUUGAAUUUCCAUAAAGAGCCUAAAUAGAAAACACUUCUAAUGAUUAUUUCUUGGAAUUAGUUAAAAUGCUAAGAGAUAAUAUUCAAUAUAAUAAUUUAAAACAAAACAAUUAUUCACAUUUUACUAUUAUAUUAUUAUUACUCCAUCUGUCCCUAUAAUUACUUGUUCACUUUUAAAUUGGCACACCUAUUAAGAAAACAAUUAUUGACAUAGUGAGUUUACCAUUUUGCCCCUAUUAAUUAUGAAGUGGAUGAAUUAAAAACUUAAGAUUUUCAAGAAAUUUUAUUUUUUCAAAGUAAUUAAUUGAGGGUAUAAUAUAUAAAAAGAAAUUGUCAUUUCUUAAUUUAUCAAAAUGAACAAGUAAUUAGGGAUAUCUAAAAAAUGAAAAAUGGACAAGUAAUUAGGGACAGAGGGAAGGGAGUAUGAAAUAUGGUCAUGUGAUUAUGGGACUUGGAUGUUUUUUUUUUUUUUGAAGAUUAUACAAUCUAAUUAUAAGGUGACAAGAAGGGAUGUCAUACAUGUGCAAUUGGCAAGUGUGGUAUUUAUUUUAGGCAAAGCUUCUCUCUUCAAUUUCCAUCUAAACCAGCCCCUAGUUUUGGCUUCUCUUUUUAGUGGAUUUUGAUUUGGUUUAUAGUUAGCUAUCAAUUAUCAAAUUGGACACUUGAUAAGAUUUUUGUUUUAUAUUAGCUAAAUUUUAAAUUUUUGUAUACCGAAACAAAUAGGCAACAUGACAUUACGUGUUAGAAUUACAUGGAAAUAUUUCUAGUAUGAAAUUGUUACCUUUUUAAUGAAUAAAGAAAACAGAUUUAAAUUAAUCAGAUCAAUGAAUUUUGAAAAAAUUGUGAUCAAGGGGUUCUUUUAUUUUAAGUGGUGGAUCUUGUUGGGUUUAAAAGUGAUUAGGGCGUCAUACGAAGCUUAUAAUUGCAAAUCGAAACAGUGAUAAAUUAGAUGACAAAACUAUUCCUUUAAGAAAAGAAUAAAUUAAAUAUGGAAGAAAAUUACAUUUUCCUUUCAGGAAAAAUUCAAGUAUUUAUGAUAAUACUUUGAAUUUCCUCUAAGAAAAAAAUAAAUUAAAAAAAAAAAUCAGGACAAAACUCUAACAAAUCCAACUACCUCUAAUUUUUGUUCAGUCUUUUGCCCUUGUUUUUUCUUGCCUUGAAAAUUUAUAUUUUGCAAUGAUUUGAAAGUGUACAUUUUAAGAAAAAAAUCAAAAUCAUUUACACUCAAUUUAAAAAAUGGAACUUUCUUCCCACCUUUGAAAAAUUGUCAUUCUCUCUCUUUUAUUCUAAAAGCAAGGUCUAUUUCACUUUUGUCAUUUUUAAUUCAUCGUCUAUGUAACAUCUUUUUAUAUUAUAUAUAUAGUACUUUAUUUUUAAUCUAUGUAUCUAUAGAUUUUUAUUUAAGUUCAUUACCAUUAUAGGUAGAAUAAUCCUCUUAUAAGUUUGUUGCAAAGUUUAAUAUAUAUCUUUUUGUAAUUGUUAUUUUAAUUUCAGAAAAGGAUUAAAAAUUAUAUUAACAUAUCAUAAAUAGUUUUAAAAUAUCCUCCCUCCAUCUAUUAAUUCUAGAAUACCUUCAAAAAAAAUAAUUUAAGAUUUAAAUUGCUCUUUGUAAUCGCAAAAAUAAUUUAGAUGAACUCUUACUUAUUUUUUUUUAAAAAACUAAUUUUACCACCUAAAUGUACCUUUGCACUUUAAUACUUAUCAACUUCUUAAUCAAUUAAUUCAAACAAGCUCGUUAGUGUUUGAUGGGUUAGUAUUUGAGUCAAAAGAAGUGUCCCUUGUUGGUAAAAUGCAAAAAAGGAAGAAUUAUUAUAUUCCACAAAAAAAUGUUUUUCUGGCAAUUAUAAUUGAUUUUUCUACUUAUUUUUUAAUAUUUGACAAAAUAAAUAUAAAAAAUAUUUAUUUAUUCUCUAGACAACUAAAAAGUACGUAGAGAUUGAGACUCUAAAAGUGGGGACAAAGAUGAAAAUGAGUUGUAUUAGCGAACAAGAAAAACAAUCAAGAUGGAAUGUCAUUUAUAAAAUUUACAAUUUCUUUUGUACUUUUAGAGAUCACCUAAUAACAGUGUUGUUAUAUCCGAGCAAACUUUUUAAAAUUUUUUUGCACUAACACGAUCUUGAUUUCUCCAAUAUAUGCAUGUAACCUCUUAUAUUUAAAUCGAGAACGAUGGUUCGUGAAAAAUCAUCUUAUUAAAUUAUCUAUAUAUAUAUAUAUAUAUAUAUAUAUAUUAUUAAAAAAGAUUUUUUCACACACACUCUCUAAUUUUAUAUAUAUAUAUAUAUAUAUAUAUAUAUAUAUAUACAGUUUAAUUAAGGUGUGAUAUGUUUUUACUCAAACUCAUCAUUAAUGUCUGGUUUAGAAGAAAAAAUAGAUUAGUUGAUUAAUUAAGGUAAGAGAUUUAGAAGCAACAAAAUAUUAUUAGUCUCACGUGUUCAUCAUGCCUUUUUGUUCCCAAAAUUCCAUAUAUAUAUAUAUAUUAUGUCAAAUUUGUGGACCAAAAUAAUAAAAGCCAAAUACAAGUAUUAGCUCACGUUGCCAUGAUGCAUGUCUCAAAUACAACCAAUUCAAUAAUUAUAUAUUUAGUGGUUACUUAUUUUAAAAUUAUAAUCGAAGAACACCCUUAAAGUUAUGAUUUUUUUUGUAAUUAUUGAAUUAUGGUUAUGAAAUCCAUAUAAUUAUUUUACAAUUCUUAGCAAUAUUGAAUUUUCAAUGUUAAAUCAAAAUUAAUCUAAAUAAUAUUCAAGUUUCAAAUUAUCAAAUUGUUGAACAUGAAUCUAAAAAAUCUGAAUUAACAAAAUCACAACUUAACAAUGUACGUCUAGAACCUAAAUAUUUAUAAAAUUCAAAUGAACUGACUUACUUAUACGGAUAGUGGAAAUAAAAUACUAUAGUCAUUUAAAAAAGAAGUCAAAAUUCAUCACUACAUAUAUUUUGGCUAAUAAAAUAUCUACUUUUAUUACAAAUUCAAAUUCAUACACGUCACAACAUAUAGUAAAACACUAAAUUAAUGGAUGGAAAUUAAUUUAAAUAAACCACUACUCCAUCCAUUCCAUCCAUCUCAAUUUAUAUGAGUUAGUUUGACUUGACACGAAGCUUAAAAAAAAAGACUUUUUUUGAAACUUAUGGUUUAAAAAUAAGUCAUAAAUAUUUGUGUAGCUAGAAAUCGUUUCAUUAAGCGUAAAAUGAGCACUUUAAAGUAAAAUUGUUACCACAUAUAGAAAUAUAUCAUUCUUUUUAAAAUUGAUUCACGUGAAAAGUAAGUCAUAUAAAUUAAAACAGAGAGACUAACAUAUUCACGCAUGUUAACUAUAUAACUCAUUGCACCAUGUUGAAGUGUAUGAUUAUCUCAUCUAAAAGUCUAAUCGAUUAAAAAAUAUUUUUUUAUUAGUUAAUUGUAUUCUGAUCGUAACAAUAAGUAGGCUCCAAAAAAAAAAAAAAAAAAAAAAAAAAAAAAAAAAAAAAAAAAGAAUGCAAUUCCUAGUGAUUAUUUCAUUUUGAAUAACAUGAAGUUUCCCAAGAAAUUGAAUAUACUUUAAUAGUUGAAGGAGGAAUUCUAUUAGCCAAAUGCGGCGUCGCAUGCAAUAAACGUGAAAAGUAUAAAAGCCAAAAUAAAUAUAAUAUAUAGUAAGCAGAUGCUGCGGUUGACCAAUGACUAAUGCUACUUCAAUUUCUUCUUUUUCAAUAGUAUCUUCCCUUCAAGAAAAUUAACCUACCCCAAACUUUAAUUUGAGUAAUAUUUAAAUCAAUAAAUAAAUUAAAAUAAAAAUUUAUUUAUUUUAAUUUAUAUGACGAUAAUUAAUCAGGUGCAAAGCUUGAAAAAGGAAGAAUUUUAAAUAUAUCAUUAUUUAAAUGACUAUAAAAAAUUUGAAACUUAAAAUUUUUUAGAAUGUCUUGACUUAUUUUAAUUGUUUUAAGGUCAAAAUAAUUUUAAGUGCUAUUGGAGUGUUUGGAUAAAUCAAAAUGUGUUUAUAAAUUUUUGGUUUUAAGCUAAAAUGAUGACAAUAAGCAGAAGUCAGAAAUCAAAAGUCAAUCCAAAUAGAUCCUUAGACAUGUUAUUAUAUUUAUAUAGUCAACAAAAUUAAUUUCUUUGUUUAGUUUUACUUGUCUAAUAUUUUAAAAACAAAUUUUUAAUUUUACUUGUUUAUACUUUUAACAUUUAAAAAAAAAAAAGAUUAACCCUUAGCACUAAUUUCUUAUUUCAAAAUUAUUUUUCAAGAUAUAAUACUAAGGGUCUGUUUGGUCAUGCGACAUAAAAUCAUGAUUUGAAAUCAUGAGAUGAAGUUGAAGUUUUGUGUGGACAUGUGAUUUGAACUUUUUAUGUUGUAUUGUUUUCUCAUUAACAUAACAAAAUCCUAAGUUGUAAAAUUAUUAAAAUUGUCUCAAUUUUUUAUACAAUCUUAUCAAAUAAGCAUAAGUUUAUAAAAUCACAAUAUAUCGCAAAGACAUUCUUAAAUAAUACAAUAUUUAUUGAUCAAGUUGUGGUGUACUAGUCUUUAAUAUAAUCCUCCCACAGAGUACGGACAAUAUUCUUACGUUGAACUUGCAUUUCUCGUUCACAUGACUGAGAAAACAAACCAACAUUGUUUCUUUGAGCCAUUUGUUGGUCAAUUUGGUUGGUAAAUAUAUUUGAUAAAAAAUAAUGAAUUUAGUGAAUAUAAACCGUAAAGUAGAAAUUGAUUUGACAUAAUUAUAAAUUUUAUUUACAUAUGAAAUAAAUGGCUAGUAGAUAUAUAUGUAGGUUUUUUUUACAAAAUACAAACUUGUGAAUCAAUUUUUGUAUUUGAAAAAUUCGAAAUCAUGAUUUGAAAUUUCUAAAUCUUGUUUUUUUGGAGAAUUUGGAAUUUCAUCACAUGAUAUGAAAUCAUGAGAUGGAAUCAACAUAAAAUGGCAUGUCCAAAUGUUAAUUUCAUAUCGUGAUUCCACAUUGCCUGUCCAAAUGCCUACUAAACAUCAAUUAAUAGGAGUAGUGUGAUAAAAUAGUUAUAUUAAUCAUUGCGAUCUUAAUGUAUCUGUCAAAUUCAAAUGUGACACGUAAAAGUAAACUAAGGAAAUAAUUAUUAAAAAUAAAAUAUGACAUCUAAAUAAAAAUAUCUUUACAUUUAAAUAUAAUAAAAGAAAAUUAAGAUAUGACAUAUUCCUUAAGUAAGUUAAAAGAAAAAGAUUAAGACAUUUUUAAACUUUUGAAAAUUUUAUUUUGGAUCUACAAAAAAAUAUCAGAAAUCAUUUUACUUUAAAAUGAAGGAAGAAUCAUUCUAUUCAAAACAUACUAGUAAAAGAAUAAUUACAUGUGAAAUAAAACGCAAGGAAUAUGCAUUAAAACUCAUAAAAACCACAUCACCACCAUACCUAAUAAAAAUUCCGCAAAAUGAAAUUUGAGAAAGAUGAAGUACAUGUAAACCUUAUUCUUACAUCAAAUAGGAGAGAAGUUGUUUCUAAAAAAUCCUCAAUUCAAGUUAUAAAAAAAAAACUUUAUCUCAUCGAAUUUAAAAAGUUAAAAUAAUUUAAAUUUAAACAUGAAGUUUUCAAAUUUAUUGAUUUUUUCUCUCUAUCUCUCUCUCUCUCUCUCUAUAUAUCUCUCUAUAUAUAUAUAUAUAUAGUANNNNNNNNNNNNNNNNNNNNNNNNNNNNNNNNNNNNNNNNNNNNNNNNNNNNNNNNNNNNNNNNNNNNNNNNNNNNNNNNNNNNNNNNNNNNNNNNNNNNNNNNNNNNNNNNNNNNNNNNNNNNNNNNNNNNNNNNNNNNNNNNNNNNNNNNNNNNNNNNNNNNNNNNNNNNNNNNNNNNNNNNNNNNNNNNNNNNNNNNNNNNNNNNNNNNNNNNNNNNNNNNNNNNNNNNNNNNNNNNNNNNNNNNNNNNNNNNNNNNNNNNNNNNNNNNNNNNNNNNNNNNNNNNNNNNNNNNNNNNNNNNNNNNNNNNNNNNNNNNNNNNNNNNNNNNNNNNNNNNNNNNNNNNNNNNNNNNNNNNNNNNNNNNNNNNNNNNNNNNNNNNNNNNNNNNNNNNNNNNNNNNNNNNNNNNNNNNNNNNNNNNNNNNNNNNNNNNNNNNNNNNNNNNNNNNNNNNNNNNNNNNNNNNNNNNNNNNNNNNNNNNNNNNNNNNNNNNNNNNNNNNNNNNNNNNNNNNNNNNNNNNNNNNNNNNNNNNNNNNNNNNNNNNNNNNNNNNNNNNNNNNNNNNNNNNNNNNNNNNNNNNNNNNNNNNNNNNNNNNNNNNNNNNNNNNNNNNNNNNNNNNNNNNNNNNNNNNNNNNNNNNNNNNNNNNNNNNNNNNNNNNNNNNNNNNNNNNNNNNNNNNNNNNNNNNNNNNNNNNNNNNNNNNNNNNNNNNNNNNNNNNNNNNNNNNNNNNNNNNNNNNNNNNNNNNNNNNNNNNNNNNNNNNNNNNNNNNNNNNNNNNNNNNNNNNNNNNNNNNNNNNNNNNNNNNNNNNNNNNNNNNNNNNNNNNNNNNNNNNNNNNNNNNNNNNNNNNNNNNNNNNNNNNNNNNNNNNNNNNNNNNNNNNNNNNNNNNNNNNNNNNNNNNNNNNNNNNNNNNNNNNNNNNNNNNNNNNNNNNNNNNNNNNNNNNNNNNNNNNNNNNNNNNNNNNNNNNNNNNNNNNNNNNNNNNNNNNNNNNNNNNNNNNNNNNNNNNNNNNNNNNNNNNNNNNNNNNNNNNNNNNNNNNNNNNNNNNNNNNNNNNNNNNNNNNNNNNNNNNNNNNNNNNNNNNNNNNNNNNNNNNNNNNNNNNNNNNNNNNNNNNNNNNNNNNNNNNNNNNNNNNNNNNNNNNNNNNNNNNNNNNNNNNNNNNNNNNNNNNNNNNNNNNNNNNNNNNNNNNNNNNNNNNNNNNNNNNNNNNNNNNNNNNNNNNNNNNNNNNNNNNNNNNNNNNNNNNNNNNNNNNNNNNNNNNNNNNUCUCUCUCUCUAUAUAUAUAUAUAUAUAUAUAUAUAUAUAUUUGAAAACUACAUAAAAAUAAAAAUAAGUAAAUUACAAUAAUUAAUAAUUUUAAAAUAUUUUUUUAAAAAGCUAUUUCAUAUGUCCAGCAAUACUUGUCCACUAUUGAAUUUAUACGCUUCUUAAGAAAGGUUAAUUUUACUAUAUCACCAUCUAAAUAUAAUAAAUAAUGUAACAGAAAAAUAAUAGGAAUAAAUUAAAAACUAAUUGUAAAAUUAUCUAUUAAUUUCAUAAAAUAGACAACUAUUAUUAAACCGGGAAAAUAUGAAUAAAAAAAAAGUUAUACUUCCCUAAUUAUAAAUAAACACAAAAGGGAUUCAUCUAGAAUACCCAUAAAAAAAAAAUUGAAUCUCAAAAUUCGAAACACAUAUCCCACAAAAGGAAAGGGAGUAUUUGAUGGGAGAGAGAGAAAAAAUAAAUAAAAUAAAAUAAAAGAAGAUUGUGGAAUGGGCAUAGUCAGUGCCAGGGCCAGGGGUGAAGAACCUUGGGAGACAUCCCCUAAUUUUGUUUUUCCAAAAAACAUCAACUUGUCCCCACCUUCAUAACCCAAAUACAUUGAAUCCAUUACUUUCUCAACAUAUAUAUACAUAGACCAACUUUUUUAAUUAAAUCAAUACAAAAACUAUUCUUCUCCCCAAAAAUCAACCCAAACCAUAUCUUCAACAAUCCCCAAUUGAGAGAUUCAAUUACAAUUUUGAUUCAAAAGAAAAAAAGCCCUAAAAAUGGAUGUAAGAGAAAGAUCAGAAGUUAAAUUGAGAUCACCAUCAACAACAACAACAAAAGUGUUUAUGAACAAUCAGUAUAUGAUGAAUAAUUCUAGAAGAUCAGCAAAUGGGAAAAAAGUGUUUUCAAUUAGUUAUUUCAGUUUGGAGUCAUUUCUUCUGCUAAUUUGUCUAUCAGCAUCAUUGUUGCUAUUGCCUUUGAUUCUUCCACCAUUACCACCACCACCAUUUAUGCUUCUAUUACUUCCCAUUUUUAUUCUAUCACUUCUUAUGUUCUUGGCUUUUAUGCCUUCUAAUAUCAAAAAUGUUUCUUAUAAAUAUGUAUGAUAAAAUAAUUCUGGGGCUAAUUACUCUCUUUGGUUUCUUAUUUGUUUACCUAACAAGCAAAAUCUAGAUUUCUUUAUUUACAUCUUUUGUUUUAUCAUAGUACUUUUGAGCAAUGUAAUCUCAGAGAAAUUAAAUGUGUAUUACAGUAAAUUUAGUUUUCUCUCUUUUAUUUUGAUCUCUAUAUUUGUAACAUAGGCAAAUCAACAACAAACAUUGAUGUUAAGCCGUUGUUUCGAAUUUGAAUUUUGAGUAUAUAAAGUUACUUUGCGAUAGAUGGACAUUGAGAAUUUGAGAUUAGUCGAGGCUCCAAUUCUAUAAUUGAGGACAAAUCUGGAUGCUUGAUUGUAAUUGAUCUAGUGUAUUUUUGUUCUUAACUCUAGAUUAUUUUUUAUAUAUGUAAAAUGUAAAAUUAGUUGGAAUAAAAAAGUUUUUUCUAAUGAAAAGUUAAUUAAGCAUAAGAGUGGAAGUUAAAUUAAUUUUAUUGCAAUUUUUAAAAAUUAACAAUAAAUAUGUUAUAAUAAAAAUAAAAGUAAUGAAGAUAAUUGUAAUAAAUCGUAAACCAUAAGAAAUAAUAAUUUGAUGAGAUGUUACUAGCUUUAACUUGCACCAUUUAAUACAAUUUAUCUUUAAGACUCGAUUUUUUUUUUUAUCAGAGCACUCUCCGAUUUGCAAAUAUUUUAUGAGUCUUUAAUAUAUACAUUUUCUAUUUUUUAAAGUUAAGAAAAAAUCCAAGAAGACUUACUCCCUUUUCUUUUUUAUAUGCCAUCUUUACUAUAAAUCUUUAGUUUAUAAUAUUUGUCAUUUCAUAAAAUUAAUGUAUAAAUUACAAUAUUUUUUCUAUUUUACCCUUGUGAGUUACUAACAUUAAAAUAUAUAUUUUACCAAAUAUAGAAAAAUUAAGUGAAUAAUUUAUAUUCAUUAGUCAAAUAAAUUAAUUCAUAUUCGAGUUACAAAUUUUGUGAGGAUAUGGGACAUGGAAAAACCAAAUAUUCAAACUUGUCCUAAUUCAAAGGUAGAGAGAGUAUAACUCAUUUAUUAAUUUUUGCCAAGAGCAAGAUACAUUUUCUUAUGAGAAAAGAAAGCGUUAGCAAUGUUGCACCAUUUAUGCAACUCUACCUCAACCAGUUUGGGGUUAAAAACGACUUAUUUAUAAAAACAAUAUUUAAAAAUGGCUUUUAGAAAAGUGCUUUUUGAAAGAAAACAAUUUGUGUUUGGUUUAUUUAUUUGAAAAGUGUUUUUCAUAAGCAAAUUAUGUUUGACUAAUCUUUUUUAAAAAGUGUUUUUGAGAGUCAAAUUACGAAAAGUGACAACUAUUAAUGUACUUUUAAUAUUAAGAUUAUUUUAUAGGCAGAAACUAUUUUAAAUAUCUAUUAUAAACAAGUUAAUUAAACUUUUAUUUUUAAUAAAUUAAAAUGUACAUAUUUAAAUUUUCUAUCAAUAAUAUACCUUUUUUAGAGGGUUGAAAUCCUUAAUUGUUAUUUUUUUUCUAACCUUAUAAAAAUAUUGUUAUUAUCUUUUUUCUUAGUUCUGUAAAAUUAUACGUAAAAUAAUAUGUAAUAUAUAAAAUAAUAAAAUAUAAACAUAAAAUAAAAUAUAAAUUCAUUAUAUAAAAAUAUAAAAUAAAUAUAUUGGUAAAUAUGUAUAUAUGAAAGGGAUGUUUUAGUCUUGAGAAAAAAAUAAUUUGUUUCUGCUUCUACCUUUUUUUUAAGAAGCAGAAUUUUUUAGCUUCUUCCAACAACAAAGAAACUACUUCUACUUCUAUUUAAAAGCAUUUUUACUGAUUUGUCAAAUACGUAAUAUUUUAACAGAAGUGAAAAAAUAAAGUUUCAAGCCUCCAAACAACAUUGUCAAAACAGACUCUUAGCUAAUACUGCACCAUUUAUGCACCUAACCAAUUGGACUGGUUCCUUGGAUCAAUUGUCUCAUCACCUCUAAGUAUUUUAUAUGUAUUUGUUUUAUGCACAAUUUUUCAAUAUAAAACUGUAAACAAUACUUUCAACAUAAUUCACUUCUCCAAAUCCCACACAUUAUGAGAGCUCUCAAGUAACCUUUUAUUUUUCAUCUUAUUCAAGUAAAAACACAUUUGUAACUAAAUGUCUACUGUUUGAUGAAUUCCUUUUCUACAUCCAUGUCCAUGUAAUCGACUCUUCAAACAAGAUCACCAAGGACAAGAUGAAAAAAAAACAGCAGGGCACCAGCCAAUAUACAAUGAACAUUUGAGUUACUAGCCCUUCUGAAUGUAGUUUACAUAAAAUCAACACAUUUAAGUAUGCAUCUUUUCAGACUCCGCGCAGAUAUGUAAACUAUAAGCCGACCUACUUGUUCAGUAAGAAAAUUGAUCAACCUUGGAGGUUUCUUCCUCACUUUCAACCCAACUAUGUGUUAUUAUACUUGUGAAGGGAGAUAGGGGGGGGGGGGGGGGAAAAUUUNNNNNNNNNNNNNNNNNNNNNNNNNNNNNNNNNNNNNNNNNNNNNNNNNNNNNNNNNNNNNNNNNNNNNNNNNNNNNNNNNNNNNNNNNNNNNNNNNNNNNNNNNNNNNNNNNNNNNNNNNNNNNNNNNNNNNNNNNNNNNNNNNNNNNNNNNNNNNNNNNNNNNNNNNNNNNNNNNNNNNNNNNNNNNNNNNNNNNNNNNNNNNNNNNNNNNNNNNNNNNNNNNNNNNNNNNNNNNNNNNNNNNNNNNNNNNNNNNNNNNNNNNNNNNNNNNNNNNNNNNNNNNNNNNNNNNNNNNNNAUGGGGGGGGGGGGGGGGGGGGGGGGGGGUGAAAAUUUCAGAGCUUCUAAUAAGCAGCACUUGAUGCAUUUAGCAAAAAUGGUGGAAGAUGAUGCUCCAAGACAGCCACUAAUUCUUUUCCUUGGUUUGCCUCUUCCAGUACUACACCACCAAGCCUUUUGGCUGCUUCCACAAGCUGUCCUCUAAGUCUUUGAGAUAACAAGCAACAUCCCCCUACCUUGACACUUUCUCUAUACAGUGGCAGGUAUGCUAUUGCUACCCUCAAGGGCCCAGGAAGAUCCUUCAAACAGAUAGGAGAUUCACCACAGUUUACAAUACGCACAAAGUUUAAGUAGUGUUCUUUUCCUUGCUGCAGUCCAUCUGAGAAGGCAGCUUCCGACCAAUGUUCCCGAAGGAAACUCCUCAGACCAGGAGCAACAGCAUCAUCAUCAGACUUAGCUAUACUGUCGGCAACAGCAUAAGUGGCAACAGGAUCACCGAGGAAGUCUGAAUGCAGAAGAAAUGCUACCCCAUCAAGAGACCCACUGCUUCUCUCACCAGCAGCCUUAAGAAUCUCGAUGCUGAGGGCAGCAAGAACAUGCUUAGGUACGUGAGGAAGGAGAUACGCGGCAACUGCAACCUGACUACUGGAGGUCGCAGCUGUAAGAGCCAGGCAUAGUUCCAUGUCCCUGCAUCCCCUUUUGACAAACCAUUCAACAACCUGCAUGCAUCCCCUCUCAGCAGCUCUCAUCAGAGGGCCCAAGAAAGACAUUGCAUUCCCCUCUUCCACUAAACAUUCCAUGGUUCCAAUUUUACUGUAAUGGGAAGCAAACCCCAAAGCCAGUUCAACAUCAACAUCCAAGCUGUUCCUUUGAGCAAUCUACAAGUAAACCAAAACAACCAAAGAUGAGAAUGCCAGACUUCUUUUAAAAGCAAUUUGAGCCGCGAGCUCAAUUUUAUUGAUAAUUAGAAAACAUGCACAAAAAAUCCGAGCCCAAAUGGGUCCAGAAAGGAAGUAAUGACAGAAAGUAGGAAACAAAACAAAAUGGACUGGCUGGUCCAAUUCGCCUCUAUUUCUAUAUCUAUAUUGGAAGAAUUUCCUAAAGGAAACUCAUUGUUUUCCACUGCCGCUUCCACUGAGCUCUGAAGAUAAUGAACAUGAAGAGGUUCCACAGCAGUGGUUUGGUUCUCCUAAAUCUCUGCGUGAUCAACACGUGUGGUCCUCUUUGGUGUUUGCUGCUAGUUUUCAGCUUGCAGAAGUGAGAAAUUUACCUUUCUCUUCUUUUUUUUCUCUUCGUUUUUGUGGUCCUGGUUUAAAGUUAACUUCUGCUCUCUGUUUUGCCCAUCCAGAUGUGUAAUCCGGUGAAUGAGAUUGUUGUGUAUACCCAGGAGUCUACAGAGGGUUGUCAUAAUGGGUAUCAGUUGAUCUGUUACGUGUGAGUGUCUCGCAUCCUUCUUCUCUUGUAUGAUGUGUGGGUUUACCAAUAGAUCCGUGUUUUCCUAGCAGGGGUGGAAUGCAAUUGAUCUGUUACGUGUGAGUGUCUCGCACCCUUCUUCUCUUGUCUCCUUGGCUUGUCUGAUUCUCUUAGAUAUGAAGCUUUUUCCUCCUACCUUUCACAUAGGAAUGAAAGAAUUUGGUAUUCCUAUUCCCAUCUACAAACCUGUACUCCUCUAAGUGAAAAUAUCUUUUCAGUUCUGUUAAGAGCAUCCCUGCUAGCCUCUGUAGGAUAUAACUGAAUCUCUUUAACAUUUAUUACAUCUUCUAGAGUGGCUAUUUGCUGAAAAACAUUGCCAAAACUCUCUUUACUGUAUCAUGCGAGGGCUCCUUUCACCCUUUUCAAUUUGACCUGAAACUCAGUGAAAGGAUUACCAACAAAGUCAUUCCUCCCAUUGUCUUUCAGUAUGCUUCUGAAAUGAUUGUGCUUGGUCCAGAUAUUGAGAAAUUUGAAGGGCUUGAUGACUGGUUCUUGUAAUGCAUUGCAUAUCACAUGUAGAGGAGCAUGGUUUAAUCCUCGUCUUACCAUAUGUUGAACCUCAUUGACCGGAAAAACCUCCAUGAACUUCUGAUUACCAAAAACUGUGUCUAAUCUUUUGAAGAUGCAUUCAUUUUGUAUUCUCCCAUUCCACCAUGUGUAUUUACUCCCUGUGAAUUUAAAUUCAGAGAUGGCACAAUUAUUGAUGCAUUGAGGAAAAUGUGUUGCUUCAUGAUGUGUGAAAGGGAGACCUCCCAACUUCUCUUCAUCACGUAGGAUAACAUUGAAAUCUCCUCCAAUUAUUCAGGGAAUCUGAUAACAUUGAAAUCUCCCACAGUUCCAGUCUUUCUAGAGCAUUGCACCUACUAUAUAGAGCUGAGAUCAUAAUUUCUUGAUUACCAGCCUUGCAUCUGAAUUUCAACGUGAGUUGUUGAAUAAUGUCAGUAAGCACUUGACCUUCCCAUUCACCAUUCCAGAAAAAUCCAAAUCUUUGAGGAACAGUUUGCAAUACAUUAUGUAUUCCCAGUAUCCUUUUGUAUUGUUCUAACUCAUGUGGUCCUUGGAAAGGUUCCGUAAGAGCUAUGUAUGGGUAGUGAUGUCUUCUGUUAAGUUCCAUUAAUCUCUCAAAGGAAUUCAAAGAAUUAACAGAUCAUAUGUUCUAUGAAAGUAAGGUGUCAAUCAUUAAUCAAAUCUGGGGUGGUUUAUCUUUAUUCCUCCUUGUUCUAACCUCCAAAGGAAGGGAUCGAUUGCUUGCUUUUCCUCUUUUGGUUCCACUCUUAGGUUGUCAAUCUUCCUGGGUGAGAGGUCUCCUUCUUUGCUUAUAUGAUCUAUGUUCUCGUCCAUGUGUUCAUCUUCCCCUAGUAUCUCUUCUGUGUUGUUUCUUCUCAAUUGGCAUGUCCUCUAUCUCUGGUGCCUCACUAAGAGAUGUGUCUGGGAUAAUAAUCUGCAAUGGGUUCGGUUCUUGAGUACUCGCAUCGUUUUGCGUUUCUACCUUAUCCUCCUUUUGUGAGCUGUUAUUUUCUCUAUUGUUCGUUCCAAGAUCUUGUACUAGUCCUCCCUGGUAUCCUUGAGGAGCCUUGUGGUCAGCACUCCCUUUUUCUCCUGUUUCUUUGUGUUGGUUAUCUGGUGGUGCCCAUAUUGUUAGAACACUUGAUGUUGGAUUCCUUUUGUUGGUUGUAUGUUUUACUUCGUUUUCAUUGUCGCUUGUGUUUUUUUUUAUAGUCGGAUCCUUGUUGUUUCUUGAGUUCCCUUUGCUAUCCAAUUGUUUACCAAAAGCCUCUUUUUUUUUGCUUUACAAAUAAGUGGCACGACCUAAAGUAGUUUCAACCUAACUAAGUAUUCCAGCGAGCUACAGUCUCGGGCAUCUAACUGCACUGAGGGGAAGUAAAACAAGAUCCUUCAUAAGCAAUUUCUUGUUGAGAUUUUGUUUAUUAUUUAAAGGUAUAUCUGUGUUUUCUUUUAUUUAUUUACUUUUUUAUCUACUUAUCAAAGUGAAAUUGGAACAUGUAGAAAACACUAACAGUGCUUUGUAAGCACAACCCAAAAACUAAGGGUGAGAGAAAGACAGAAAAAGAAGAAGCAAAUAGAACAUCCAUGACAGGUGAAAUACCAAUAUAAAAUUUACAAAGGCAGUCACCAAGAAGAACAUUUAGAAAGUACAAAUCUGAAAAGGGGAUAGAUGCAUGCUUCGAAACGUAAAAGUGAAAACAUUACACUCCAAAAUAUACAUCAAUAUACCUGCAAAAGAAUGCGGACCAGCUCUGUGCUCCCAAAACGCGAUGCUUCAAGAAAGCACUGAUUGACAUUGUCGGCACCCCCAUCCACCAACAUGCCGAGCAAUCCUUGGAUUGCAGUAGCUGAAAUUCCUGAUGCCCAGCAAGUAUCAAAUGAACUAGAGAAUAGUGUAAGCGGAAAGCAAGCUGCAUCAAAUGCUUCUGUAAAGUCCUUCCCAGUAAGGUGGUUGCCGGCAAGAUCCAGGAAAGUUUUGAAAGCUGAUAACUGCAAUUGUAUUUCAACAGCAGAGUUAUGCCCAACCGUAUCUCUCUUUCCUUGGCAGCGGGAAUGGAAACCUAUACAUUUAAGAGCCCAUUCAGUGAACUUCUGAACCUUAGCACCAGCUUCAGCCUUCAAGAUUUCAUCUCCGCUGCAUUCUUGUAGUCGUUCAUGCAACCUGCUGAGAGUGGUGGUUCAUACCCAGCAAAAACUUUAGUGCCACAAACAAUACCAGACAUCAAGGGAAAUGGAAAGAGAAAAAGUUGUAACUGGACACCAGAGUUCAAAUUCCAGCAGAGACAAACAAUACUAGGUGAUUACUUCUCAUUUACCUAAGCCUCCAGAUCUCCCAGUAUCUGGGUGGAUGGGAGGCACCAUCAUUGUUAAAAGGAAAAAAAAAUUGUAACUUGACCUUGUAAAUUAUCACCAAGGAAAUUCUUAUAUAUGAAGAAUAAACUUUUCAAAUAAUAUGCCAUCUAUGUAUCCUUUUAGAUAAUAGCCCAUACGAUGGGUAAUAGCAACAAACUAACUAAUGUAGCAAGCUCGUUUGUUAAUUUCAAUAACAA
rnacentral:lncRNA from 1 species